GCGGAGCAGCCCACCGGUGCUGCCGCCGAAGAUCGGGGACGGCGUGGACGGGUCCAGCUGCGGCGGCACGAAGCCCGCGGGGGCGGGCUCCGCCGGCGGCGCGGCGGGCGCGGGGGUGUCCGGGGCCGCGGCGAAGAGCGGGGCCGGGCCGCGGGCGGAGGAUGGCAUGGCGAGGGUGGCGGGGCGGGGCUUGGCGGAUGGCGACCAGGCCGCGGUGAUCAGGUGGCGCGUCGCCGCCGAGGCUUGCGUGGCCAUGGCCAUGGCGGUGGCGCUCUAGCUUGUGGUUCUUGGCGAGGAGAUGGGGAAGAGAGCGGAGACCACACGCGCGCGCGGGAGAUGGAGUGGUGUCUGGUGGGCGAUGAGUAGGAGAGGAUGGCUGAGCUAAGAGGUACGGGGGCUUGGGGUGGAGACGGUGGGGGGGAGUGGAUAAGGGGAUAUGGCGAUAUGAGGCCGGCCAAUGGGGAGUGCCGAUUUUGAUACGGCCGGGCUCUCCGCACCGCCACCACACACAUGUGCAUGUAUGCCCCGGUUGCCAUGACGCGCAGCGGCCACGCGACGAUAUUCUGAUCGCUCUCCACGGUUCAUCGUCUCUUGAUCCCGGCCACGUUCGCGUUUACGCUCAUGGUGCGUGAAGAAGCCAGAAAUAUACACCGUGUGUGUGCCACUUUUCGGUGUCACUGGCUUUUUUAUGGAACAAAACGUGCAUCUCAUUCUCAUCGAUAUCCGUCAAAGAAAGUGAAAAUUAUAUCUUUGCUCCUAAAAUUGUAUGUUUGCUCUCUCAUGUUUAUGUAAAGUUUGGCCAUUCGUUGCUGGAGGAACCCAUCGGACGAAGCCUGUCGGCCGAGGACGGUGGCGGAGGCGCUCUCCCCUCCCGGUUAGGUUUGGGUGAUGCAGGGCACCCACGGGCGUGGGGCACCUGCCUGGAUCUGGGUCACUGGCGGUGCGGCCUCUUUCCUCCGGCGAUGGUCCGUGAUGAUGGAUGUUUUAGAGUUGUUGAUAUAUUACUUUAUAAGAUAUUCAAGGAUAUUUAAUAAAAUGGUUGUAUGCAUCGUCCUGAUGCACAUGCUUUUCUAAAAAAACAAUUUGAGAGAACUAGGUUGUAGCCUAGUGGCAAGGGAGCGUAGUGGCGUCUUCAGCAACCAGGGUUCGAUCCACGUCGGGGACGAAUUUCUGGUUUCUCAUUAGGGAUGCUUCUUCUAUAUCAAUAAACCAUGGGUGCUAGUGCCCAUGGAGUUUCAUUUUUUUUUUUUAAAACAAUUUGAAUAGUUCAAAACCAGACCCAAGCGGUAAUCGGCAUGGAGCUAACAUGCCACUACUUUUUGGCUCACACUUGCUACGUUGUAGUCAAAACCAAUAUUUCUCCCACAUUCGUUCUUCUCUCUCUCUCAACUCGCCACAAGUGCACUCGAAACUUAACCGCGGUUGAUCCACUAGUAGAAAAAAAGGCUUUGGUCCACUUGAUGAAAUCUCAUUAGUCUCGGUUCACUCACGAACCGGGACCCAUGUGGGCAUAGGUCACGAUUCGUGAGGCCAGGGCGCCGGCCAGGCCUCAUGGGCCAUUUGUCCCGGUUCGUUUGUCACCUUCGGUCCCGGUUCCAAACACGAACCGGGACCAAUGUGCCUCUCUCCUGGCUCACAACCAGUAGUCCCAGUUUAUGGCUGGAACCGGGACCUCAGGUUGUCCUUUGGUCUCGGUUCUAGGCACAAACCGAGACCAACGGUUGGCCUAUAUAUACCCCCGCGAGCAGAGCAGUGCACUGCUUUGUUUUUUCGGACGGUUGUGGGAAAGCUUUGUGGUGCUCUAGCUCACCUCCUAUGCACAUGAGGUAUUCAAUGAAAUGUCCGAGCCACACUUAAGCUUUCUCCUUUAUAAGCUCCUUGUCCAAUCUCUAUUUUCAUCAAGAUUUGUGUAGUUUUCAAUACACUUUAUUAUAUAACUCACGCAGAUGAACCGUCAAUGGAUGUACAAUGACCGACGCACCUCUAAGUAUAUUAAUGUCCUGCAUAAUUUUCUCGAAGCGGCUAGGGCAAACAAGUGUAAUGGUUUUAUGCAUUGUCCAUGUACUGUUUGUGGGAAUACGAAGAAAUUCUCCGACUAUAAAACCCUUCACUUCCACCUGCUUCAGAAGGGUUUUAUGUCACACUAUAAUGUUUGGAUCAAGCAUGGAGAAAGAGGGGUUAUGAUGGAAGACAACAUAGAAGAAGAGGAUGAUGACAACUACCCGCCCCCUGAAUACGGUGAUGCUGCAAUGGGGGGGAGUUGAAGAUCAAGAGGAACCAGAUGAUGUGCCCGAUGAUGAUCUUCGUCGGGUCAUUGUUGAUGCACAUAGAGAAUGCGAAAGUGAAAGGGAGAAGUUGAAGUUCGAUCGCAUGUUAGAGGAUCACAAAAAAGGGUUGUAUCCAAGUUGCGAAGAUGACAACACAAAGCUCGAUACCACACUAGAAUUGCUGCAAUGGAAGGCGGACAAUGGUGUAUCUAACAAGGCAUUUAGUUCGCUGCUAAAAUUAAUGAAGAAGAAGCUUCCAAAGGAUAAUUAAUUGCCCGGCAGUACGUACGAAGCGAAGAAGGUUCUAUGUCCUCUAGGAUUGGAGGUGCAGAAGAUACAUGCAUGCCCUAAUGACUGCAUCCUCCACCGCGGUGCGUACGAGAAUUUGAACGCAUGCCCGGUAUGCGGCGCAUUGCGGUAUAAGAUCAGAAGAGAUGACCCUGGUGAUGUUGAGGGCCAGCGCACCGGGAAGAUGGUUCCUGCCAAGGUGAUGUGGUAUGCUCCUAUAAUACCACGGUUGAAACGUUUGUUCAGAAACAAAAAGCAUGCCGAGUUGAUGCAAUGGCACAUAAAAGACCGUAAGAAAGACGGGAAGUUGAGAGCACCCGCUGACGGGUCGCAAUGGAGAAAGAUCAAGAGAAAGUGGAGCGACUUUACACGUGACCCAAGGAACGUAUGGUUUGGUUUAAGUGCAGAUGGCAUUAGUCCUUUUGGGGACAGAGCAGCAAGGCAUAGCACAUGGCAUGUGACUCUAUGUAUGUAUAACCUUCCUCCUUGAUUGUGCAUGAAGCGAAAGUUCAUUAUGAUGCGAGUGCUCAUCAAAGGCCCUAGGCAACCCGGCAAUGACAUUGAUGUGUACCUAAGGCCAUUAGUUGAUGAACUUUUACAGCUAUGGAAUGGAAAUGGUGUACGUGUGUGGGAUGAGAACGAACAGGAGGAAUUUAACCUACAUGCUUUGUUGUUUGUAACCAUCAACGAUUGGCCUGCUCUCAGUAAUCUUUCAGGACAGACAAACAAGGGAUACAACACAUGCACACACUGUUUAGAUGACACCGACAGUAUAUAUUUGGACAAAUGCAGGAAGAAUGUGUACAUGGGGCAUCGUCGAUUUCUUCCGACCAACCAUCAAUGUCGAAAGAAAGGAAAGCAUUUCAAAGGUGGGGCAGAUCACCGGAAGAAGCCCACCCUCCAUACUGGUGACCACAUACUUGAUAUUGUCAAUGAUUUACAAGUAAUCUUUGGAAAGGGUCCUGGAGGACUAUCUGUUCUGAAUGACGAUACGGGUCACGCACUCAUGUGGAAGAAGAAAUCUAUAUUUUGGGACCUACCCUAUUGGAAAGACCUAGAGGUCCGCUCUGCAAUCGACGUGAUGCACGCGACGAAGAAUCUUUGUGUGAACCUGCUAGGCUUCUUGGGAGUGUAUGGGAAGAUAAAAGAUACACCAGAGGCACGAAAGGAACAUCAACGUGUGCAUGAAAAAGACGGCAUGCAUCCAGAGCAGUAUGAAGGUCCUCCCAGCUACGCUCUUACCAAAGAAGAGAAGGAAAUCUUCUUUGAAUGCUUGCUCAGUAUGAAGGUCCCAUCUGGCUUCUCGUCGAAUAUAAAGGGAAUAAUAAAUAUGCCAGAGAAAAGUUCCAGAACCUAAAGUCUCAUGACUACCACGUGAUUACGACACAACUGCUUCCGGUUGAAUUGAGGGGGCUUCUACCGGAAAACAUUCGAUUAGCCAUUGUGAAGCUAUGUGCAUUCCUCAAUGCAAUCUCUCAGAAGGUGAUCGAUCCAGAAAUCCUGCCAAGGUUAAGAAGUGAUUUGGUGCAAUGUCUUGUUAGUUUCGAGCUGGUGUUCCCACCAUCCUUCUUCAAUAUCAUGACGCACGUCCUAGUUCAUCUAGUCGACGAGAUUGUCGUUCUGGGCCCUGUAUUUCUACACAAUAUGUUCCCCUUUGAGAGGUUCAUGGGAGUCUUAAAGCAAUAUGUCCGUAACCGCGCUAAGCCAGAAGGAAGCAUCUCCAUGGGUCAUCAAACAGAGGAUGUCAUUGGAUUUUGUGUUGACUUCAUUCCUGACCUUAAGAAGAUUGGUCUCCCUCAAUCGCGGUAUGAGGGGAGACUGAUUGGAAAAGGCACACUAGGAGCAGAGUCAAUAAUGUGUACAGAUGGGCAUUCUUGGUCUCAAGCACACUACACAGUUCUACAGAAUUCUACCUUGGUGACCCCGUAUGUCUAUGAACACAAGAAUCUUCUGAUCUCCAUACACCCAGAGCGGUGUGACGACUGGAUUACAUUUGAACACAUCAGGACUUUCAGCAGUUGGUUGCAAAAACGUCCCAUGUGUGACAACACUAUUUCUGAUGAGUUGUACUCGUUGGUCAGCGGACCAUCUUCGACUGCAUUGACUUACAAAGGGUACGAGAUAAAUGGGAAUACAUUUUACACGAUUACCCAAGAUCAAAAGAGCACCAACCAAAACAGCGGUGUCCGCUUUGAUGCAGCAACCGAGAGGGGAAAGGACACAUAUUAUGGUUACAUAGUGGACAUAUGGGAACUGGACUAUGGACAUGAUUUGAAGGUCCCUUGGUUUCAUUGCAAAUGGGUCAAUCUGUCAGGAGGCGGGGUACAGAUAGACCCACAGUACGGAAUGACAACAGUGGAUUUGUACAAUCUUGCGCAUGCAGAGGAACCAUUCCUCCUAGCCAAUGAUGUGGCGCAGGUUUUCUAUAUGAAGGACAUGUCUACAAAACCGAGAAAAAGAAAAUAUAAGGAAGCGAAUACAUCAUACAAUGAGCCAAAGCGCCACAUAGUUCUUUCAGGAAAAAGAGACAUCAUGGGAUUGGAGGGCAAGACAGACAUGUGUGAAGAUUAUGAAAAGUUUCAUGAAAUUCCUCCCUUCAAAGUCAAGACUGACCCAAGCACCCUGUUAAACGAUGAAGAUUAUCCAUGGUUACGGUGCAAUAAGCAAGGAACACAAGCGAAGAAAAAGUGAAGAAAUGAAAUACCCUUUGUAAGAGAUGAGUUUUCGUAUGAAAUCCUCAUACUUCGAAAGAUAUUGUCCGUUUUGUACACGAAGUGCAUCCAGUUUUUGCCGCAACCCUCUCAAAUUUUUAGCACAUGUUAUGUGGGUGAAAUGAUGAUACCAUGCCAACUUUCAAUCUUUUCAGAGUUCAUUUGUAGUGCUUUUCAAUUUAAGGGUCAUUUAACUCAAAAAAAUCACUAAAUGCAUGAAAAAUACAAAAUGAAGUCAGAAAUAGUUAAAAAUUGAUGAUUUGUCUUUGAAUGGUGCAUUUUGAACACAUAAAAAGUCUAGAGUUCAAAUAAGUUCAAAAAUUUGAAAUCCCUUUGUAACAGAUGAGUUUUUGUAUGAAACCCCGAUACUUUGAAAGAGAUUGUCCGUUUUGUACACGAAAUGAAUCCAGUUUUUGGCGCAAUCCUCUCGACUUUUUAGCACAUGUUAUGUGGGUGAAAUGAUGAUACCAUGCUAACUUUCAACCUUUUCAGAGUUCAUUUGUAGUGCUUUUCAAUUUAAGGGUCAUUUAGCUCAAAAAAAAUCACUAAGUCCAUGAAAAAUACCAAAUGAAGUCAGAAAUAGUUAAAAAUUGAUGAUGUGUCUUUGAAUGGUGCAUUUUGAACACACAAAAAGUCUGGAGUUCAAAUACGUUCAAAAAAAUGAAAUCCCUUUGUAACAGAUAAGUUUUCGUAUGAAACCCUCGUACUUCGAAAGAGAUUGUUCAUUUUUUUACACGAAGUGCAUCCAGUUUUUGCCGCAACCCUCUCAACUUUCUAGCACAUUCUAUGUGGGUGAAAUGAUGAUACCAUGCGAACUUUCAACAUUUUCAGAGUUCAUUUAUAGUGUUUUUCAAUUUAAGGGUCAUUUAGCUCAAAAAAUCAGUAAAUGCAUGAAAAAUACCAAAUGAAGUCAGAAAUAGUUGAAAUUGAUGAUGUGUCUUUGAAUGGUGCAUUUUGAACACACAAAAAGUCUGGAGUUUAAAUAAAUUCAAAAAAUGAAAUCCCUUUGUAACAGAUGAGUUUCGUAUGAAACCGUGAUACUUCGGAAGACAAUGCCCGUUUUGUACACAAAGUGUAUCCAGUUUUUACCGCAACCCUCAACUUUUUAGCACAUGCUAUGUGGGUGAAAUGAUGAUACCAUACCAACUUUCAAUAUUUUCAGAGUUCAUUUGUAGCGAUUUUCAAUUUCAGGGUCAUUUAGCUCAAAAAAUUCAGUAAAUGCAUGAAAAAUACCAAAUGAAGUCAGAAAUAGUAAUGGUUCAUUUGUCAGAAAUAGUGAUUUUCAAUUUCAGGGUCAUUUACCAAAUGAGUUCAUUUGUAGUGAUUUUCAAUUUCAAUAUUUUCAGAGUUCAUUUGUAUUGAUGAUAUGUCUUUGAAUGGUGCAUUUUGAACACACAGAAAGUCUGGAGUUCAAAUAAGUUCAAAAAACUGAAAUCCCUUUGUAACACAUGAAUUUUCGUAUGAAACCCUAAUACUUCAAAAGAGAUUGUUUGUUUUGUACACGAUGUGCACCCAGAUUUUGCCGCAACUCUCUCAACUUUUUAGCACAUGCUAUGUGCGUGAAAUGAUAAUACCAUGCCAACUUUCAACGUUUUCAGAGUUCAUAUGUAGUGCUUUUCAAUUUAAGGGUCAUUUAGCUCAAAACAAAAAUCAGUAAAUGUAUGAAAAAUAUCAAAUGGGCUGAUGGACCUUUUGUCCCUGUUCUAGCCAUCAACCAGUACGAAAGUACUCUUCUUCCUCCCUUUUGGGCCAGCGAAAGUUUGGCUUUGGUCCCGGUUGAUUCCACAAACCGAAAACAAAGGUUUCGCAUAUAGUGCGGGACUUGUCGAAAUUAACCUUUAGUCACGGUUGGUGUAACAACCCAGGACUGAAGGUGUGCUUUGGUCCCGGUUUGGUCCACUGCUACUUCUCAAACAAGAGCGCCAGAAAUUGGCACAUUGACGGAGAUUUGACUUGUGUUGGUUUUUCCAUUGAAGAAGAAAGGGUGGUGCAGCACAGGAGCAGUAAGUAUUUCCCUCAGUUUGAGAACCAAGGUAUCCAUCCAGUAGGAGGAUCGUGUCAAGUCCAGAGUACCUGCACAAACACAAAAGAGCUUGCACCCAACGCUAUAAAGGGGUUGUCAAUCCCUUCAAGAUUGUUUGCAAAGUGAGAACUGAAAGCGGAAAGCAAAACAAAGUAAAAGUGUAAGGCUGAAAAUAUGGUGUGGAGUAGACCCAGGGGCCAUAGUGUUCACUAGAGGCUUCUCUCAAAAUAGCAAGUAUCACGGUGGGUGAACAAAUUACUGUCGAGAAAUUGAUAGAACCACGCAAAGUCAUGACGAUAUCUAAGGCAAUGAUCAUACAUACAGGCAUCACGUCCGAGACAAGUAGACCGAUACUUUCUGCAUCUACNNNNNNNNNNNNNNNNNNNNNNNNNNNNNNNNNNNNNNNNNNNNNNNNNNNNNNNNNNNNNNNNNNNNNNNNNNNNNNNNNNNNNNNNNNNNNNNNNNNNUAUCACGGUGGGUGAACAAAUUACUGUCGAGCAAUUGAUAGAACCACGCAAAGUCAUGACGAUAUCUAAGGCAAUGAUCAUACAUAUAGGCAUCACGUCUGAGACAAGUACACCGAUACUUUCUGCAUCUACUACUAUUACUCCACACAUCGACCGCUAUCCAUCCUGCAUCUAGUGUAUUGAGUUCAUGACGAACAGAGUAACGCCUUAAGCAAGAUGACAUGAUGUAGAGGGAUAAUCUCAAACCAAUGAUGAAAACCCCAUCUUUUUACCCUUGAUGGCAACAACACGAUGCGUGCCUCACUACCCCUUCUGUCACUGGGUGAGGUCACCGCACGGUAUGAACCCAAAACCAAGCACUUCUCCCAUUGCAAGAAUCAUAGAUCUAGUUGGCCAAACAAAACCCACAACUCGAAGAGAAAUACAAGGAUAUGAAAUGUAGAUCUAGUUGGCCAAACAAAACUCACAACUCGAAGAGAAUUACAAGGAUAUGAAUCAUGCAUAAGAGAGAUCAGAAGAAACUCAAAUAAGAUUCAUAGAUAAUCUGAUCAUAAAUCCACAAUUCAUCGGAUCUCGACAAACACACCGCACAAGAUUAUUACAUCGGAUAGAUCUCCAUGAAGAUCAUGGAGAACUUUGUAUUGAAGAUCCAAGAGAGAGAAGAAGCCAUCUAGUUACUAGCUAUGGACCCGUAGGUCUAUGGUGAACUACUCACGCAUCAUCGGAGAGGUCAUGGUGUUGAUGAAGAAGCCCUCCGUGUCCGAAUCCCCCCUCCGGCAGGGCACCAGAACGUGCCCCAGAUGGGAUCUUGCGGAGACAGAAGCUUGCGGCGGCGGAAAAGUAAUUUCGAGAUCUCCUGAUUUUGUGGUAUUUUUAGGGAAUUUAUAGGUGCAACCCCUAGGUCAGGGGACGCUCAGGGGGCCCACAAGCCUAUGGGUCGCGGCCUACCCCCCUGGACGCGGGGUGGGGGCUUGUGGGGCCCCUGAGGCUCCCCUGCCUUGGCUCUCAAGCUUCCUGAUCUUCUUCCGUUCCGGAAAAAAAACUUUUCGGGGAUUUUCUUCCGUUUGGACUCCGUUUCAAAAUCUCCUCUGAAAGGGGUCAAAAACAUGGAAAAAUAGGAACUGGCACUUGGCACUGAGUUAAUAUGUUAGUCCCGAAAAAUAUAUAAAAGGCAUGCAAAACAUCCAAAGUUUGACAAGAUAAUUGCAUGAAACCAUCAAAAAUUAUAGAUACGUUGGAGACGUAUCAGUNNNNNNNNNNNNNNNNNNNNNNNNNNNNNNNNNNNNNNNNNNNNNNNNNNNNNNNNNNNNNNNNNNNNNNNNNNNNNNNNNNNNNNNNNNNNNNNNNNNNUGUCAGUGAGUUAUAUGAUCUCAUGGUCAUAGGAACAAAUACUUGUCACGCAGAAAACAGUAGCAACAAAAUGACAUGAUCAACAUGCUACGUCUAUUAGUUUGGGUCUAGUCCAUCACAUGAUUCUCCUAAUGAUGUGAUCCCGUUAUCAAGUAACAACACUUGCCUAUGGCCAGGAAACCUUGGCCAUCUUUGAUCAACGAGCCAGUCAACUAGAGGCUUACUAGGGACCGUGUUUUGUCUAUGUAUCCACACAAGUAUUGUGUUUCCAAUUAAUACAAUUAUAGCAUGGAUAAUAAACGAUUAUCAUGAACAAAGAAAUAUAAUAAUAACUAAUUUAUUAUUGCCUCUAGGGCAUAUUUCCAACAGUCUCCCACUUGCACUAGAGUCAAUAAUCUAGUUCACAUCACCAUGUGAUUUCAACGAAUCCAACACCCAUAUAGUUCUGGGGUCUGAUCACGUCUUGCUCAUGAGAGAGCUUUUAGUCAACGGUUCUGAAACUUUCAGAUCCGUGUGUUCUUUACAAAUCUUUAUGUCAUCUUAUAGAUGCUGCUACUAUGUGCUAUUCGGAAAUACUCCAAAUAUCUACUCUACUAUACGAAUCCGUUUCACUACUCAUAGUUAUUCCGAUUAGUGUCANNNNNNNNNNNNNNNNNNNNNNNNNNNNNNNNNNNNNNNNNNNNNNNNNNNNNNNNNNNNNNNNNNNNNNNNNNNNNNNNNNNNNNNNNNNNNNNNNNNNCUAGCUCAAGUCCGAUCAUCACGUGAGUUGAGUAUAGUUUCAGUGGUAAGCAUCCCUAUGCUAAUCAUAUCAUCUAUAUGAUUCAUGAUCGACCUUUCGGUCUCAUGUGUUUCGAGGCAAUGUCUGCACAUGCUAGGCUCGUCAAGCUUAACCCAAGUGUUCCGCGUGCGCAACUGUUUUGCACCCGUUGUAUGUGAACGUUGAGUCUAUCACACCCGAUCAUCACGUGGUGUGUCAAAACGACGAACUGUAGCAACGGUGCACAGUCGGGGAGAACACAAUUUCGUCUUGAAAUUUCAGUGAGAGAUCACCUCAUAAUGAUACCGUCGUUCUAAGCAAAAUAAGGUGCAUAAAAGGAUUAACAUCACAUGCAAUUCAUAAGUGACAUGAUAUGGCCAUCAUCACGUGCUCCUUGAUCUCCAUCACCAAGCACCGGCACGAUCUUCUUGUCACCGGCGCCACACCAUGAUCUCCAUCAACGUGUCGCCAUUGGGGUUGUCGUGCUACUCCUCCUAUUACUACUAAAGCUACAUCCUAGCAAAAUAGUACACGCAUCUGCAAGCACAAACGUUAGUAUAAAGACAACCCUAUGGCUCCUGCCGGUUGCUGUACCAUCGACGUGCAAGUCGAUAUUAUCUAUUACAACAUGAUCAUCUCAUACAUCCAAUAUAUCACAUCACAUCGUUGGUCAUAUCACAUCACAAGCAUACCCUGCAAAAACAAGUUAGACGUCCUCUAAUUUUGUUGUUGCAUGUUUUACGUGGUGACCAUGGGUAUCUAGUAGGAUCGCAUCUUACUUACGCAAACACCACAACGGAGAUAUAUGAGUUGCUAUUUAACCUCAUCCAAGGACCUCCUCGGUCAAAUCCGAUUCAACUAAAGUUGGAGGAACUGACACUUGCCAGUCAUCUUUGAGCAACGGGGUUACUCGUAGCGAUGAAACCAGUCUCUCGUAAGCGUACGAGUAAUGUCGGUCCAAGCCGCUUCAAUCCAACAAUACCGCGGAAUCAAGAAAAGACUAAGGAGGGCAGCAAAACGCACAUCACCUCCCACAAAAACUUUUGUGUUCUACUCGAGAAGACAUCUACGCAUGAACCUAGCUCAUGAUGCCACUGUUGGGGAACGUCGCAUGGGAAACAAAAAUUUUCCUACGCGCACGAAGACCUAUCAUGGUGAUGUCCAUCUACGAGAGGGGAUGUGUGAUCUACGUACCCUUGUAGACCGUACAGCAGAAGCGUUAGUGAACGCGGUUGAUGUAGUGGAACGUCUUCACGUCCCUCGUAAGAAGCGUUAGUGAAUGCAGUUGAUGUAGUGGAACAUCCUCACGUCCCUCGAUCCGCCCCGCGAACCGUCCCGCGAUCAGUCCCACGAUCUAGUGCCGAACGGACGGCACCUCCGUGUUCAGCACACGUACAGUUCGACGAUGAUCUCGGCCUUCUUGAUCCAGCAAGAGAGACAGAGAGGUAGAAGAGUUCUCCGGCAGCGUGACGGUGCUCCGGAGGUUGGUGAUGAUCUUGUCUCGGCAGGGCUCCGCCCGAGCUUCGCAGAAACGCGAUCUAGAGGUGAAACCGUGGAGAUAUGUGGUCGGGCUGUCGUGGCAAAGUUGUGUCAAAUCAGCCCUAAAACCUCUGUAUAUAUAGGGGGAGGAGGGGGAGCCUUGCCUUGGGGUCAAAGGACCCUCAAGGGCUUCGGCCGAGCCAAGGGGGGCAAACCUCCCCUUCCAAACCGAGUCCAACUAGGUUUGGAAGGAGGAGUCCUUCCCCCUUUUGCCACCUCCUUUUUUUUUUCUUUUCUCUUUGAUUUUCUUCCUAUGGCGCAUAGGGCCUUCUUGGGCUGUCCCACCAGCCCACUAAGGGCUGGUGCGCCACCCCCAAAGCCUAUGGGCUUCCCUGGGGUGGGUUGCCCCCCCCCNNNNNNNNNNNNNNNNNNNNNNNNNNNNNNNNNNNNNNNNGGGGGGUUCCCCCCCCCCCCCCCCCCGGUGAACACCCGGAACCCAUUAUUCAUUCCCGGUACAUUCCCGGUAACUCCAAAAACCUUCCGGUAAUCAAAUGAGGUCAUCCUAUAUAUGAAUCUUCAUUUCCAGACCAUUCCGGAAACCCUCGGGACGUCUGUGGUCUCAUCUGGGACUCCGAACAACAUUCGGUAACCAACCAUAUAACUCAAAUACGCAUAAAACAACGUCGAACCUUAAGUGUGCAGACCCUGCGGGUUCGAGAACUAUGUAGACAUGACCCGAGAGACUCCUCGGUCAAUAUCCAACAGCGGGACCUGGAUGGCCAUAUUGGAUCCUACAUAUUCUACGAAGAUCUUAUCGUUUGAACCUCAGUGCCAAGGAUUCAUACAAAGAGCACAAAGAGCAAAAGUAUCUAGCUCAAAAGAUAUAAGUGAAGCACUAUGAGCAUUCUAGCAAAAUCACGAUGACAGCGGGACCUGGAUGGCCAUAUUGGAUCCUACAUAUUCUACGAAGAUCUUAUCGUUUGAACCUCAGUGCCAAGGAUUCAUACAAAGAGCACAAAGAGCAAAAGUAUCUAGCUCAAAAGAUAUAAGUGAAGCACUAUGAGCAUUCUAGCAAAAUCACGAUGAGUGCAUGUCUCUCUCUCUCAAAAAAGGUGUUGCUACUGUUUUUUGCGUGUCAAGUAUUUGUUCCUAUGACCAUGAGAUCAUAUAACUCAUUGACACCGGAGGAAUGCUUUGUGUGUAUCAAACGUCGCAAUGUAACUGGGUGACUAUAAAGAUGUUGUACAGGUAUCUCCGAAGGUAUUCGUUGAGUUAGUAUGGAUCGAGACUGGGAUUUGUCACUCCGUGUGACGGAGAGGUAUCUCAGGGCCCACUCGGUAAUACAACAUCACACACAAGCCUUGCAAGCAAUGUGACUUAGUGUAAGUUGCGGGAUCUUGUAUUACGGAACGAGUAAAUAGACUUGCCGGUAAACGAGAUUGAAAUAGGUAUGCGGAUACCGACGAUCGAAUCUCGGGCAAGUAACAUACUGAAGGACAAAGGGAAUGACAUACGGGAUUGUAUGAAUCCUUGGCACUGAGGUUCAAACGAUAAGAUCUUCGUAGAAUAUGUAGGAUCCAAUAUGGGCAUCCAGGUCCCGCUAUUGGAUAUUGACCGAGGAGUCACUCGGGUCAUGUCUACAUAGUUCUCAAACCCGUAGGGUAUGCACACUUAAGGUUCGAUGUUGUUUUAUGCGUAUUUGAGUUAUAUGGUUGGUUACCUAAUAUUGUUCGGAGUCCCGGAUGAGAUCACAGAAGUCACGAGGGUUUACGGAAUGGUCCGGAAACAAAGAUUGAUAUAUAGGAUGACCUCAUUUGAUUACGGAAGGUUUUCGGAGUUACCGGGAAUGUACCGGGAAUGACGAAUGGGUUCCGGGUCUUCACCGGGGGGCAACCCACCCCGGGGAAGUCCAUAGGCCUUGGGGGUAGCGCACCAGCCCUUUGUGGGCCGGUGGGACAGCCCAAGAAGGCCCUAUGCGCCAUAGGAAGAAAAUCAAAGAGAAAGAAAAAAAGUAGGUGGGAAAGGAGAGAAGGACUCCACUUUCCAAUCCUAGUUGGACUAGGAUUGGAGGAGGACUCCUCCUCCCUUGGUGGCGCAGCCCUUGGGGCUCCUUGAGCCUCAAGGCAAGCCUCCCCUCCCUCCUCCUAUAUAUAUGGAGCAAUUAGGGCUGAUUUGAGACAACUUUUUCAAGGCAGCCCGACCACAUACCUCCACGGUUUUACCUCUAGAUCGCGUCUCUGCGGAGCUCGGGCGGAGCCCUGCCGAGAUUAGAUCAUCACCAACCUCCAGAGCGCCGUCACGCUGCCGGAGAACUCAUCUACCUCUCCGUCUCUCUUGCUGGAUCAAGAAGGCCGAGAUCAUCGUCGAGCUGUACGUGUGCUGAACGCGGAGGUGCCGUCAGUUCGGCACUAGAUCGUAGGACGGAUCGCGGGACGGUUCGUGGGACGGUUCGCGGGGCGGAUCGAGGGACGUGAGGACGUUCCACUACAUCAACCGCGUUCACUAACGCUUGUGCUGUGCGAUCUACAAGGGUACGUAGAUCGGAAAUCCCCUCUCGUAGAUGGACAUCACCAUGAUAGGUCUUCGUGCACGUAGAAUUUUUUUUGUUUCCCGUGCGACGUUCCCCAUCAGUGGUAUCAGAGCUAGGUCUUCAUGCAUAGAUGUAAUCUCGAGUAGAACACAAAAGUUUUUGUGGGCGGUGAUGUGCGUUUUUCUGCCCUCCUUAGUCUUUUCUUGAUUCCGCGGUAUUGUUGGAUCGAAGCGGCUCGGACCGACAUUACUCGUACGCUUACGAGAGACUGGUUUCAUCGCUACGAGUAACUCCGUUCCUCAAAGAUUACCGGCGAGUGUCGGUUUCUCCAACUUUAGUUGAAUCGGACUUGACCGAGGUGGUCCGUGGAUGAGGUUAAAUAGCAAUUCAUAUAUCUCCUUUGUGGUGUUUGCGUAAGUAAGAUGCGAUCCUACUAGAUACCCAUGGUCACCACGUAAAACAUGCAAUAACAAUUAGAGGACGUCUAACUUGUUUUUGCAGGGUAUGCUUGUGAUGUGAUAUAUUGGAUGUAUGAGAUGAUCAGGUUGUAAUAGUUAAUAUCGACUUGCACGUCGAUGGUACGGCAACCGGCAGGAGCCAUAGGGUUGUCUUUAAACUAACGUUUGUGCUUGCAGAUGCGUUUACUAUAUUGCUAGGACGUAGCUUUAGUAGUAAUAGCAUGAGUAGCACGACAACCCCGAUGGCGACACGUCGAUGGAGAUCACGGUGUGACGCCGGUGACAAGAAGAUCGUGCCGGUGCUUUGGUGAUGGAGAUCNNNNNNNNNNNNNNNNNNNNNNNNNNNNNNNNNNNNNNNNNNNNNNNNNNNNNNNNNNNNNNNNNNNNNNNNNNNNNNNNNNNNNNNNNNNNNNNNNNNNCCUCCGCGUUCAGCACACGUACAGCUCGACGAUGAUCUCGGCCUUUUUGAUCCAGCAAGUGAGACGGAGAGGUAGAAGAGUUCUCCGGCAGCGUGACGGCGCUCCGGAGGUUGGUGAUGACCUUGUCUCAGCAGGGCUCCGCCCGAGCUCCGGAGAAACGCGAUCUAGAGGAAAAACCGUGGACGUAUGUGGUCGGGCUGCCGUGGAAAAGUCGUCUCAAAUCAGCCCUAAAACCUCCGUAUAUAUAGGCGGGAGAGGGGGGGGACCUUGCCUUGGGGCUCAAGGGGGGUCGGCCGAGCCAAAGGGGGGAAGGACUCCCCCCCAAACCGAGUCCUACUUGGUUUGGUGGGUGGAGUCCCUCUUUCCUUUCCCACCUCCUCCUUUUUUUUCUUUUCUCUUUGAUUUUUCUUCCAAUGCGCAUAGGGACCUUUUGGGCUGUCCCAACAGCCCACUAAGGGCUGGUGCGCCACCCUCAAUGCCUAUGGGCUUCCCCGGGGUGGGUUGCCCCCCCGGUGAACUCCCGGAACCCAUUCGUCAUUCCCGGUACAUUCCCGGUAACUCCGAAAACCUUCCGGUAAUCAAAUGAGGUCAUCCUAUAUAUCAAUCUUCGUUUCCGGACCAUUCCGGAAACCCUCGUGACGUCCGUGAUCUCAUCCGGGACUCCGAACAACAUUCAGUAACCAACCAUAUAAGUCAAAUACGCAUAAAACAACGUCGAACCUUAAGUGUGCAGACCCUGCGGGUUCGAGAACUAUGUAGACAUGACCCGAGAGACUCCUCGGUCAAUAUCCAAUAGCGGGACCUGGAUGCCCAUAUUGGAUCCUACAUAUUCUACGAAGAUCUUAUCGUUUGAACCUCAGUGCCAAGGAUUCAUAUAAUCCCGUAUGUCAUUCCUUUUGUCCUUCGGUAUGUUACUUGCCCGAGAUUCGAUCGUCAGUAUCCGCAUACCUAUUUCAAUCUUGUUUACCGGCAAGUCUCUUUACUUGUUCCGUAAUACAAGAUCCCGCAACUUACACUAAGUCACAUUGCUUGCAAGGCUUGUGUGUGAUGUUGUAUUACCGAGUGGGCCCCGAGAUACCUCUCCGUCACACGGAGUGACAAAUCCCAGUCUUGAUCCAUACUAACUCAACGAACACCUUCGGAGAUACCUGUAGAGCAUAUUUAUAGUCACCCAGUUACGUUGCGACGUUUGAUACACACAAAGUAUUCCUCCGGUGUUAGUGAGUUAUAUGAUCUCAUGGUCAUAGGAACAAAUACUUGACACGCAGAAAACAGUAGCAACAAAAUGACACGAUCAACAUGCUACGUCUAUUAGUUUGGGUCUAGUCCAUCACGUGAUUCUCCUAAUGACGUGAUCCAGUUAUCAAGCAACAACACCUUGUUCAUAAUCAGAAGACACUGACUAUCUUUGAUCAACUGGCUAGCCAUCUAGAGGCUUGCUAGGGACAGUGUUUUGUCUAUGUAUCCGCACAUGUAAAUGGGUUUUCAUUCAAUACAAUUAUAGCAUGGAUAAUAAACGAUUAUCUUGAUACAGGAAUUAUAAUAAUAACUAUAUUUAUUAUUGCCUCUCGGGCAUAAUUCCAACACUAUCAGGCGUUUUGAUCUAUCCCUGUAGAUCUUAAUGCCUAGAAUGUAAGCAGCUUCUCCUAGGUCCUUCAUAGAGAAACUUUUAUUCAAGUAAUCCUUUAUGCUCUCCAAAAACUCUACGUUGUUUCCAAUCAGCAAUAUGUCAUCCACAUAUAAUAUUAGAAAUGCCACAGAGCUCCCACUCACUUUCUUGUAAAUACAAGAUUCUCCAACCACUUGUAUAAACCCAAAUGCUUUGAUCACCUCAUCAAAGCGUUUGUUCCAACUCCGAGAUGCUUGCACCAGUCCACAAAUGGAUCGCUGGAGGUCGCACACUUUGUUAGCAUUCUUAGGAUCGACAAAACCUUCGGGUUGCAUCAUAUACAACUCUUCCUUAAGGAAACCGUUACGGAACGCCGUUUUGACAUCCAUCUGCAAGAUUUCAUAAUCGAAAAAUGCAGCUAUUGCUAACAUGAUUCUGACGGACUUAAGCAUCGCUACGGGUGAGAAUGUCUCAUCGUAGUCAACUCCUUGAACUUGUGAAAAACCCUUUGCCACAAGUCGAGCUUUAUAAACGGUCACAUUGCCGUCAGCGUCCGUCUUCCUCUUAAAGAUCCAUUUGUUCUGAAUAGCCUUGCGGCCCUCAGGUAGUACUUCCAAAGUCCACACUUUGUUCUCAUACAUGGAUCCUAUCUCGGACUUCAUGGCUUCUAGCCAUUUGUUGGAAUCUGGGCCCACCAUUGCUUCUUCAUAAUUUGCAGGUUCAUUGUUGUCUAACAACAUGAUUGACAAGACGGGAUUACCGUACCACUCUGGAGGAGCACGUGGUCACGUCGACCUGCGUGGUUCGACAGAAACUUGAACCGGAGUUUCAUGAUCAUCAUCAUUAACUUCCUCCUCAACCGGCGUCGCAACGACACAGGUUUCCCCUUGCCCUGCGCCACCACCUAGAGGGAUGAGAGGUUCGACAACCUCAUCAAGUUCUAUCUUCCUCCCACUCAAUUAUCUCGAGAGAAACUCCUUCUCGAGAAAAGCUCCGUUUUUAGCAACAAACACUUUGCCCUCGGAUUUGAGAUAGAAGGUGUACCCAACUGUCUCUUUUGGGUAACCUAUGAAGAUGCACUUUUCCGCAUUGGGUUCCAGCUUUUCAGGCUGAAGCUUUUUGACAUAAGCAUCACAUCCCCAAACUUUAAGAAACGACAACUUUGUCCUUUUGCCAUACCACAGUUCGUAUGGUGUCAUCUCAACGGAUUUUGAUGGUGCCCUAUUUAAAGUGAAUGCAGCUGUUUCUAAUGCAUAACCCCAAAACGAUAACGGCAAAUCGGCAAGAGACAUCAUAGAUCGCACCAUCACUAAUAAAGUACGAUUACGACGUUUGGACACACCAUUACGCUUUGGUGUUCCACGCGGUGUCAACUAUGAAACAAUUCCACAUUGUCUUAAGUGAGCACCAAACUCGAAACUCAGAUAUUCACCCCCACGAUCAGACCGUAGGAACUUGAUCUUCUUGUUACGAUGAUUUUCCACUUCACUCUGAAAUCGCUUGAACUUUUCAAAUGUUUCAGACUUGUGCUUCAUCAAGUAGACAUAACCAUAUCUACUUAAAUCGUCAGUGAAGGUGAGAAAAUAACGAUAUCCGCCGCGUGCCUCUACGCUCAUCGGACCACACACAUCGGUAUGUAUGAUUACCAACAAGUCACUUGCACGCUCCAUUGUUCCGGAGAACGGAGUUUUAGUCNNNNNNNNNNNNNNNNNNNNNNNNNNNNNNNNNNNNNNNNNNNNNNNNNNNNNNNNNNNNNNNNNNNNNNNNNNNNNNNNNNNNNNNNNNNNNNNNNNNNGGAGAGGAUCAUCACCAACCUCCGGAGCGCCAUCACGCUGCCGGAGAACUCUUCUACCUCUCCGUCUCUCUUGCUGGAUCAAGAAGGCCAAGAUCAUCGUCGAGCUGUACGUGUGCUGAACGCGGAGGUGCCGUCCGUUCGGCACUAGAUCGUGGGACUGAUCGCAGGACGGUUCGCGGAGCGGAUCCAGGGACGUGAGGACGUUCCACUACAUCAACCGCGUUCACUAACGCUUCUGCUGUACGGUCCACCAGGGUACGUAGAUCACACAUCCCCUCUCGUAGAUGGACAUCACCAUGAUAGGUCUUCGUGCGCGUAGGAAAAUUUUUGUUUCCCAUGCGACGUUCCCCAACACUUUCAUAGCAUAAGCCAACUACCAAAUCACGCACCGCCGUGCUCUAAAAGAUAUAAGUGAAGCACAAAGAGCAAAAGUAUCUAGCUCAAAAGAUAUAAGUGAAGCACUAUGAGCAUUCUAGCAAAAUCACGAUGAGUGCAUGUCUCUCUCUCUCAAAAAAGGUGUGCAGCAAGGAUGAUUGUGACACAACAAAAGGAAAAGACUCCUACAAUACGAUAUGCUCCAAGAAAAAACACAUAUCAUGUCGUGAAUAAAAAUAUAGCUCCAAGUAAUGUUACCGAUGGAUUGAAGACGAAAGAGGGGAUGCCUUCCUGGGGCAUCCCCAAGCUUAGGCUUUUUGGUGUCCUUGAAUUUGGCUUGGGAUUCCUUGGGCAUUCCCAGGCUUGAGCUCUUUCCACUCCUUAUCUCUUUGUCCAUGAGAACAUCACCCAAAACAUGAAAACUUCACAACACAAAACUUAAACAGAAACUCGUGAUAACAUUAGCACAAGAAAACAAACUACCACUUCUUUUGGUACUCUAUCAAACUUGAAUUCUAUCUAUAUUGAUGAUGGGCUACUGUAUUCUCACUUUUCCAUGCCUAGUACCCCCCCCCCGAUACUAACCAUAGUUUCAUCAAAACAAGCAACAAACUCAACAAAAACAGAAUCUGUAAAAAACAGACCAGUCUGUAGCAAUGUGUAUACUUCGUAUACUUCUGGUACCUCAAAAACUCUGAAAAAGUACGAAGGCCUGGGAAAAACCAAAUCAACCAGCAGCAAAAAGAAUCAACUCAAAAUCUCUUUCUGAAUAAAAAUGAAAAAUCAUCUCGUGAGCGAAAAAGUUCCUGUCUUUUUCCAGCAGGAUCAAACAACCAUUACCAAGACUAGUCAUAAAGGCUUUGCUUGGCUCAAACACAAAAAGAAACACAAAAAACACAAUCACAAUAGAAUUAUGAAAGUGUGGACGCAAAAAAACAAAAAUAAAAAGAUAUAUUCAUUGGGUUUCCUCCCAACAAGCGCUAUUGUUUAACGCCCUUAGCUAGGCAUAAAAGCGAUAGAAUCACGUAUCGUCGUCUUUGGUGUUCAAACCAUAAGUGGCCCUCAUCAUGGAUUCAUAAGGCAAUCUUAUUUUCUUUCUAGGAAAGUGUUCCAUGCCCUUCCUUAAAGUAAAUUGAAAUCUAAUAUUCCCUUCUUUCAUAUCGGUGAUAGCAUCAAUAGUCCUUAGGAAAGGUCUACCAAGAAUAAUAGGGCAUGUAGGAUUGCAAUCAAUGUCAAGCACAAUGAAAUCCAUGGGUACAUAGUUCCUAUUUGCAAUAAUAAGAACAUCAUUGAUCCUUCCCAUGGGUUUCUUGAUAGUAGAAUCAGCAAGAUGCAAAUUAAGAGAACACUCUUCAAUCUCAUUAAAACCCAGAACAUCACAUAAAGACUUUGGAAUCGCAGAAACACUAGCACCCAAAUCACACAAAGCAUUGCACUCAUAGUUUUUGAUUUUGAUUCUGAUAGUAGGUUCCCACUCAGCAUGAAGCUUUCUAGGGAUAGAGACUUCCAAUUCAAGUUUCUCUUCAAGAGAUUUUAUCAUAGCUUUGACGAUAUGAUCGGUAAAGGCCUUGUUUUGGCUAUAAGCGUGUGGAGAGUUUAACAUGGAUUGCAUCAAGGAAAUGCAUUCAAUCAAGGAGCAACUAUCAUAAUUGAAUUCCUUGAAAUCCAAGGUAGUAAUUUCAUUACUACUCAAAGUUUUAAUAUCUUCUACUCCACUUUCAAUGCCUUUAGCAUCAAGAUAGAUGGACUCCGAAUCAUUGGGGCGUUUUUCAACCAAAGUGGAUUCAUAUCCAGGCCCAUCAUCAUUGGGUUUGACACAAUAAAACAAAGAUUCAAUGGGAGUCACACCAAGUACUUUAAGAUCUUCGUAAUUCUCAUCAUGAGAACACGCCUUUUUAAGCCAUUCAUGUCAAGCACGAAUUUGGGCGGUUCUUUCUUGGCUCUCAAUCAUGGAAACACGCAUAGCUUUCAAAGUUUCAUCCAUGUUGAUUUUGGGAGUACCACAUCUAACUUUCAAAGCAUCAACAUCACUAGAAAUUCUAUCAACGCUCUUAGCCAAAUCGUCAAUUUUGAGUAGUUUUUCCUCUAUGGACGCAUUGAAACCUUUUGAGAGUUGAUGAACUCUUUGAUAUUACUCUCUAGAUCAGAGGGUAAUCUAUUGUAAUUUCCAUGAGUAUUGUUGUAGGAGUUGCCAAAGUUAUUAGAGGAGUUACUAGGAAAAGGCCUAGGAACAUAGUUUCCUCUAAAAGCAUUGUUGUUGCCAAAUUAUUCCUACCAACAAAACUAACGUCCAAGCUAGCGUUGCUACUCUCAAUCAAAGAAGACAAGGGCAUAUCAUUAGGAUCCAAAGGAGCACUUCUACUAGCAACAAAAUUCAUUAACUCAUCCAUCUUAGCACUUAACGAGUUAAUUUCUUCUAUAGCGUUUACCUUCUUACUAGUAGGUGACCUUUCAGUGUGCCACUGAUAGUAGUUCGUCAUGAUGUUGUCUAAGAGCUUUGUGGCUUCCCCUAACGUGAUUUCCAUGAACGUUCCACCUGAGGCGGAGUCCAAGAUAUUUCUAGAAGCGAAAUUCAAACCAGCGUAAAAGAUUUGAAUAAUCAUCCAAAGACUCAAGCCAUGAGCGGGACAAUUUCUAAUCAUUAAUUUCAUUCUCUCCCAAGAUUGUGCAACAUGUUCAUGAUCAAGUUGCUUGAAAUUCAUGAUAUCCUUACGGAGAGAGAUGAUCUUAGCCGGCAGAAAAUACUUGGAUAUAUAAGCAUCUUUGCACUUAUCCCAAGAAUCGAUACUAUUUUUGGGCAAAGAAGAAAACCAAGUUUUUGCGCGAUCUCGCAACGAGAAAGGAAAAAAGCUUCAAUUUAAUCACGUCAUUAUCCACAUAUUUUUUAUUUUGCAUGUCACAAAUCUCAAUGAAGGUAUUGAGACGGGAUGCGGCAUCUUCACUAGGAAGGCCAGAGAAUUGCUCUUUCAUAACAAGAUUCAGCAAAGCGGCAUUGAUUUCGUAUGGCUCCGCACUAGUGGCGGGAGCAAUCGGAGUACUAAUAAAAUCAUUAUUAUUAGUAUUUGAGAAGUCACAAAGUUUGGUGUUUUCGUUCAUGGUGACUUCAGCAAGCAAGCACACAAGCAAACAAAGAGCAGGUGAGAAAAAGGGCGAACGAAAAGGCGAAGGAAAAAAGGCAAACGAAAAAGGCAAAUUGGUGAAGUGGGGGAGAGGAAAACGAGAGGCAACUGGCAAACAAAGUAAAUGCAAGAGAUGAGUUUGUGACACGUACUUGGAUGAAUCCUUGACUUGAUCUUCCUCCCCGGCAACGACGCCAGAAAUUCUUCUGCUGCGGCAACAAAAGUCCUUCCUUGGCGCUAGGAAUUCUUCUUGUUACUUCUCUGGUUUGCGUCGGUUUUUCCCUUGAAGAGGAAAGGGUGAUGCAGCAAAGGAGCAGUAAGUAUUUCCCUCAGUUUGAGAACCAAGGUAUCGAUCCAGAAGGAGGGCCUCGUCAAGUCCAAAGUACCUGCGCAAACACAAACAAGCUUGCACCCAACGCUUCAAAGGGGUUGUCAAUCCCAUCAAGAUUGUUUGCAAAGUGAGAUCUGAAGGCGGAAAGUGCAACGAAGUAAAAAGUGUAAGGCUGAAAAUAUGGUGUGGAGUUGACCCUGGGGGCCAUAGUGUUCACUAGAGGCUUCUCUCAUAAUAGCAAAUAUCACGGUGGGUGAACAAAUUACUGUCGAGCAAUUGAUAGAACCACGCAAAGUCAUGACGAUAUCUAAGGCAAUGAUCAUACAUAUAGGCAUCACGUCUGAGACAAGUACACCGAUACUUUCUGCAUCUACUACUAUUACUCCACACAUCGACCGCUAUCCAUCCUGCAUCUAGUGUAUUGAGUUCAUGACGAACAGAGUAACGCCUUAAGCAAGAUGACAUGAUGUAGAGGGAUAAUCUCAAACCAAUGAUGAAAACCCCAUAUUUUUACCCUUGAUGGCAACAACACGAUGCGUGCCUCGCUACCCCUUCUGUCAUUGGGUGAGGUCACCGCACGGUAUGAACCCAAAACCAAGCACUUCUCCCAUUGCAAGAAUCGUAGAUCUAGUUGGCCAAACAAAACUCACAACUCGAAGAGAAUUACAAGGAUAUGAAUCAUGCAUAAGAGAGAUCAGAAGAAACUCAAAUAAGAUUCAUAGAUAAUCUGAUCAUAAAUCCACAAUUCAUCGGAUCUCGACAAACACACCGCACAAGAUUAUUACAUCGGAUAGAUCUCCAUGAAGAUCAUCGAGAACUUUGUAUUGAAGAUCCAAGAGAGAGAAGAAGCCAUCUAGCUACUAGCUAUGGACCCGUAGGUCUAUGGUGAUCUACUCACGCAUCAUCGGAGAGGUCAUGGUGUUGAUGAAGAAGCCCUCCGUGUCCGAAUCCCCCCUCCGGCAGGGCACCAGAACGUGCCCCAGAUGGGAUCUUGCGGAGACAGAAGCUUGCGGCGGCGGAAAAGUAAUUUCGAGAUCUCCUGAUUUUGUGGUAUUUUUAGGGAAUUUAUAGGUGCAACCCCUAGGUCAGGGGACGCUCAGGGGGCCCACAAGCCUAUGGGUCGCGGCCUACCCCCCUGGCCACGGGGUGGGGCCUUGUGGGGCCCCUGAGGCUCCCCUGCCUUGGCUCUUAAGCUUCCCGAUCUUCUUCCGUUCCGGAAAAAAAAUAUUUUCGGGGAUUUUCUUCCGUUUGGACUCCGUUUCAAAAUCUCCUCUGAAAGGGGUCAAAAACAUGGAAAAACAGGAACUGGCACUUGGCACUGAGUUAAUAUGUUAGUCCCAAAAAAUUUAUAAAAGGCAUGCAAAACAUCCAAAGUUUGACAAGAUAAUAGCAUGAAACCAUCAAAAAUUAUAGAUACGUUGGAGACGUAUCAGUCUCCUCCUUUGAAUGAUUCAAGUGGCUUGACUUGGCACAUGUUCACGCAUGUAGUUGACACAAAAUCAACAUAGCCUCUACGAUAUUCAUGUUUAUGGUGAUUUAUAUCCUACUCAUGCUUGCACUCAACAUUGGUUAAUUUCAAUUCAUAUUGAUGACUGUUGUCGCUCUCUAGUUGGUCGCUUCCCAGUCUUUUGCUAGCCUUCAUUUGUACUAAGCGGGAAUACUGCUUGUGCACCCACUUCCAUAAACCCAAAGUUGUUCCAUAUGAGUCCACCAUACCUACCUAUAUCCAGUAUCUACCUGUCGUUCCAAGUAAAUUUGCAUGUGCCACUCUCUAAAUCUUCAAAUAAUAAUCGGUUUUGUAUGUCCGAACCGCUCAUGUGGUGACAAGGGGCGGUCAGUAUCUUCCAUGCUAGGCGUGUUAUCCUCGAUACGUGUUUAUUCACUAUCACUCACGAUAAAGGGGUCGGUAAUCGGAAUGCCCAGUUCCAUGCUCAAAUCAAAUCAAAAGUAUAAUUGCAAACAAAACUCCACCUGGAUUGUUGUUGGUAUGGACGGCACCCGAGGAUUCGGCUAGUAGUGGAGUGUGAUUGAUCGGUGGUGGGGGAGUCAAAACUUUACUGUUCUAUUUGGGAACCGCCUAUAAUAUGUGUAGCAUACAAGAUGGUGAAAACUCUUGGUCAUCGCGUUGAGAACGAAAGCAUGCGACCCAAAAUUAUUUAUCUCUGUUUUAAAAGCUUGAGCUCUGGUACCUCUGCAAAUCAAUGCUUCCCUCUGCGAAGGGCCUAUCUAUUUACAUUGUUGUUGAGUCAUCCUCUUCUUAUAAAAGGCACCAAUUAGAGAGCACCUCCAUCAUUUUUAGGAUUUGCUAUUAAUUGAUAUUGAGUAUGACUAUGACUGGAUCUUCUUUGCCAUGAAUUACAAUGUUCAGUCAGCCCUUGGUCUUUGAAGGUGCUCAGCAUUUAUGUUUUGCGGUCUCAGAAAGGGCUAGUGAGAUACCAUCUAUUCAUAUUGUAUCAUGAUUGUUUUGAUUGAAGUGUUGAUGUUUGAAACUUAUUAUUAUUGCUCGCUAGUUGAUUAUGCCAUUGAUAUGAGUACACCAUGAGACCUAAAUGCUAUUUCUUAUGUGGUUAGCUUAUGAUCUUGCUGAAAAUCCGAAUAUGAGUUAGACAUAAUUACAACAACAAGAUCAAACAGGGUUCGUAAAAGUUUUUCUUUUGUCUCUUUCAGUUUGUCAACUGAAUUGCUUGAGGACAAGCAAGGCUUUAAGUUGGGGGAGUUGAUACGUCUCCAUCGUAUCUACUUUUCCAAACUCUUUUGCCCUUGUUUUGGACUCUAAUUUGCAUGAUUUGAAUGGAACUAACCCGGACUAACGCUCUUUUUAGCAGAAUUGCCAUGGUGUUGUUUUUGUGUAGAAAUAAAAGUUCUCGGAAUGACCUGGAAACUUACGAGGAUUUUUUGUGAAAUAUAUAAAAAAUACUGGCGCAAGAAUUACCCGAAGACACGGAUCCAGGGGCCCACGAGCCUAGGAGGCGCCCCCUAGGGCACGCCUCGCACGCUCGUGGGGCCCACGUGGCUCCGCAACCUCCAACUCCAACUCUAUAUAAUGUCUCUCACCCAGAAAAAAUCAGGAGAGAAGAGUUCAUCGCGUUUCACGAUACGGAGCCGCCGCCACCUCCUGUUCUUCCUCGGGGGGGCAGAUGUGGAGUCCGUUCUGGGCUUCAUCAACCAUCCUCCAUUGCCAAUUCCAUGAUGCUCUCCAUCAUCCAAGUAAUCUCAUCGUAGGCUUCUUGGACAAUGAUGGGUUGGAUGAGAUCUAUCAUGUAAUCGAGUUAGUUUUGAUGGGGUUUGAUCCCUAGUAUCCACUAUCUUCUAAGAUUGAUGUUGCUACUACUUUGCUAUGCUUAAUGCUUGUCACUAGGGCCCGAGUGACAUGAUUUUAGAUCUGAACCUAUUAUAUAUGUUUUCAUCAAUAUAUGUGUCUUCUUGAUCCUAUCUUGCAAAUUGUAGUCACCUACUAUGUGUUAUGACCCGGCAACCCCGGAGUGACAAUAGCCGGAACCACUCCCGGAGAUGACCAUAGUAUGAGGAGUUCAUGUAUUCACUAUGUGCUAAUGCUUUGUUACGGUUCUUUAUUAAAAGGAGACAUUAAUAUCCCUUAGUUUCCAUUAGGACCUCGCUGCCACGGGAGGGAUGGACAAAAGAUGUCAUGCAAGUUCUUUUCCAUAAGCACGUAUGACUAAAUACGGAAUACAUGCCUACAUUACAUUGACGAACUGGAGCUAGUUGCACAUCACCCUAUGUUAUAACUAUUAGAUGAUGAAUGCCAUCCGACAUAAUUAUCCAUCACCGAUCCAAUGCCUACGAGCUUUUCCUAUACUGGUCCUUGCUAAGUUACUUUACCGCUACUGUUGUCACACUUGCUAUACAAAUUACUAAUGCUACUGUUACCGCCGCUACCGUUACUGUCAUACUACUUUGCCACUAAAACUUUUCUGCACAUACUAAGUCUUUCAGGUGUGGUUGAAUUGACAACUCAACUGCUAAUACUCGAGAGUAAUCUUUGGCUCCCCUUGUGUCGAAUCAAUAAAUUUGGGUUGAAUACUCUACCCUCGAAAAAUGUUGCGAUCCCCUAUACUUGUGGGUUAUCACGCACCACCUCUUGGGCCCAUGUGCCCCCCCCCCGGUGGGUGGGCCCAUUCCGGUGGACCCCCGGAACCCAUUCUUCACUCCCAAUACACUACCCGAAAUGGUUGAAACCUUUCCGAAACCCAAAUUCCACUUUCCUAUCUGUAAAUCUUUACCUCCGGACCAUUCUGGAACUCCUCGUCACAUUCGGGAUCUCAUCCGGAACUCUGAACAACCUUCGGUCACCAACACACAUAACUCAAUAAUACCGAAACAUCUCCUAACCUUAUGUGUCCAGACCCUGCAGGUUCGAGAACUAUUCAGACAUGAUCGAGACACUCUCCGGUCAAUAACCAAUAGCGGGACAUGGAUGCACAUAUUGGUUCCCACAUAGUCUACGAAGAUCUUUAUCGGUUGAACCUCUAUGUCAAGGAUUCAUUUAAUCCCGUAUGUUGUUCCCUUUGUACAUCGGUAUGUUACUUGCGUGAUCGUCGGUAUUUUCAUACCUAGUUCAAUCUCGUUACCAGCAAGUCUCUUUACUCGUUCUGUAAUACAAGAUCCCAUGACUAACUCCUUAGUCUCAUUGCUUGCAAGCUUCUUGUGAUGUUGUAUUACCGAGUGGAUCCUAGAGAUACCUCUCCGUCAUACGGAGUCAUAGAUCCCAGUCUUGAUCCAUGCCAACUCAACAGACACCCUCAGAAAUACCUAUAGAUCACAUUUAUAGUCACCCAGUUACGUUGUGACGUUUGAGACACACAAGGCAUUCCUUCGGUGUCCGGGAGUUGCAUGAUCUCAUGGUCAUAGGAACACAUAUUCGACAUGCAGAAAACAAUAGCAAUAAACUCACACGAUCAUGUGCUAUGUUCAUAGUUUGGGUCUUGUCCAUCACAUCAUUCUCCUAAUGAUGUGAUCUCGUUAUCAAAUGACAACUCAUGUCUAUGGCCAGGAAACCUUGAUCAUAUUUGAUGAACGAGCUUGUUCUUUAGAGACUCACUAGGGACAGUGUGUUGUCUAUGUAUCCACACAUGUAUUUGAGUUUUCAAUCAAUACAAUUCAAGAAUGGAUAAUAAACGAUUAUCAUGAACAAGGAAAUUUAAUAAUAACCACUUUAUUAUUGCCUCUAGGGCAUAUUUCCAACAAAAUCCAUAUAAAUGCUACGGCUCGCGUACUUACUUUGAGCGUCUUCAAAAUGCUUGUUGAUGUGAUCUAGCUCCUCUUUGGAAAAUCUUAAUUUCUAAUUCAUUUCCACCAACUCCAAAGAGUUGGGGGCUGCGGCUGACGGAGAGGCGUGCAAAAGAGCAUAUUGUGUUCAUUUUCAAAUAUCCUUUUUGCUAGGAUGUGUUCUGGUUAACCCACCAGAGCCUUAGGGGCUGCACGCCUUGUUUUACAAAUAAUUCUAACCACUGCACGAGUCUUUCUAACUCACACAGGGCUUUGGGAUACUGGGUAUAAUAAAAUUUUAAGACACUGCAUAGUUAUAAACAAAAAAGUAUGCGGUUUACCUUGAUGCCUGCUAACAGUGUGUCGAAAGCUCCUUUGAGACCGCUAUCAACGAAGUGAAUACUUUGCAAAACUGCACUCAUAUGAGUGUGGCAUUCUUCGGGAAUGGAGGGGUCAUUUAGACCUUCCUCCCUCAGCUCUGGCCAUCUAGUCCGGACUGGUUCCGUCGUGGAUGGCUCCAGGUGCGACGUAGUAGUCUCCCUUAGCGGAGAGACCACUACCGCUGGCACCGAAGACACGGGAUUCUUCGAAGUAGUCUUUGGAGGAGUCUCCGAGGGUCCGGGCCCUCCCUCAUUCAUUGCCAAGGGGAGUUCAUCCUCCUGGUCCUUGGUGACCGAAGUAUUGGCCUCAGCCAUGGUAUCGUCACCCCCGGUCGUGGUAUCCGGCUCAGUGGGGACCUCCUUGGAUACCACUUCUACGGUCCCUUCGGCCAUAUGGGGAGGUGAGCAGGGUGAUCCGGUCCCGCUUUCUCCCAGGUUAGCUGGCAGGGAAUCCCCCUCUGAAAUCUGAUCGGUGGGAAGAUCACGUUGUAGGCUGUAAUACAAAGAAUAAGCCUAAUUAGAACCGCAAUAAUUUGAUUGAAGUUGUGUUCGGAUAUUUCGUACAUACCUUUUGGAUUUGGGCUUCACCAUGAGGAUCCUUCGAGGGACCGGUGCUUCAUCCGUAGACUCCUCAUCUGAGUCCAUAAUAUCAUUGAAUAGAACCAUAGGGUCCCUACAUGGCUUCUUCGAAGCAACAGGAGCAUGGUCUCCCUCGGCGUCUUUGGACGCCACUCUCUUUUUGGUAUGAGAGGAGUCACUCACCUCCUCCUCAUCAUCCUCUUCUUCUCCCUCCAUGUGGGAGGGAGCUAGUGUCUCUUCAGACUUGGUAUCCGGGGGACCCUUUGAUUCCUUUCUUCUGUUCAUCCUUCUCCCUCUGAGCCGUCUACGGUUUCUCAACCAACAUGGCCGCCAGCACAGCGGUCAUGGCGUCCUCGGGCAGAGGCAUCACACAGUUAAUCUGUCCAGAUUUAUUUUUCCACAUCUACGGGUGUGAGGGAGGAAUAGGUAAGUGACUUAUUAGAGGAUGCAUGAAAGUUAAAACAAUUCGGUAAAAAUCUUAUCGGUCUAGUGAGGAGGGAAAGGCCUUCAUCCUCCUCCUCGUCGGGCCAAGUCUUUUGCGACUUGAAUAGAGCCUUCCAUAGCUUUUCGAGUGAGGUACGAAAAAAACUCCGUACCGAGCCAGCUGUAUUGUCCGGAUCCUCUGGAUCAUGCUCCCACAUCGCGACGGGCCGACGCUGGUAGGGGAGAAGGCCGCAAUGCAGCAUCACAUGUACCACGUUGGUAAGGUAUAUCUUCUCCGUUAGACUGGAGAUCCUCUUCGUGAGCUCCUUCACGUCGGCGGCCUCCCUCUAAUCUAGGGCCUUCUCCGUCGAGGAUGUGAGGCGCGUAGCGGUGCCAGAUCUGAAUGCAGGAGGAGCUACUUCGUCGACAUUGUGUGGCUCGGUGAUGUAGAACCACUCCUUUAGCCGUGACUUGAUAGUGUCGAUGAAUGCGCCCUUUGGCCAUGUAGCCCCAUUGAGCUUGUUGAUCAUUGCCCCUCCACAGUCAGCCUGCUAGCCGUUGACGACUUUGGGCUUGACGUUGAGGACCUUCAGCCACAGGACGAAGUGAGGUUGGACCCGUAGGUAUGCCUCACAGACCAUGAUGAAGGCAGAGAGAUGGGUUUUGGAGUUGGAGAGGAGAUCGUGGAAGUCGAGACCAUAGUAAAACAUGAUCCCUCGAACAAAUGGGUGAAGGGGGAAGCUUAAACCUCUAAUGAAAUGAGGGAUAAAAACCACUCUUUCCCCCAUCCCAUGGUGUGGGGAUAACUAGGCCCUCCUCCGACGCACGGUGGCUAUGUUUUCUGGGAGAUAGCCAUAGCUCUUCAGCUCCAAGAUGUCUUUUUCAAAGAUGGAGGAAACGCCCACUUCCCCUUGGAACCAGUGUUGGCCAUUGCCGGACUGGUGACAGGGUUCAAAUGCUUGGGAGGAGAAGAAGGGACUAGGGCGUUAGAGCUUGGAGAAAGGGGAACGACAAUGGCAAGCAAGAUCUGAGGUGCGGGAGGAGGCUGAGGUGACCAUUUUUACCUUUUAUGACUUGCUAGAAUACCGAAGGCCUCGCUGAUGUACCAUAAACUCCGCCACCGCGUGAUAAACUCGCGAUUAUGGGUGUGGGGGAUAGGCCUAAGCCAUAAACCAUAUCCCUGAAAAUGGGACACGAUCUCCAUGAUGGGACGUGCCAAAUAAAACGCUCUUCAGCCGCUCGUUCAAAAAAAAUUGUGGCCUUUCGGUUUAGGAAAGAUGUCGCCCCUUGUUGAAAAAGGUAGGCCCGGGAAUAAAAAUAUGUAUAUUUGACUUCAUGUUUAAAAGGGAAUGAAUCGUCAAGAGCCGAGCUAUCUUCGGUCGGACAAUAAAGGAGGAACUCGCCUCGCAAGCCUUUAUCCCAUGACGUCAACUAUGGAGGAGGAUUUUGUUAUUGGAGGCUAGUUCGGGGGCUAGUCAGGGAGUCCGGGACUAGGUGGUCCUCGGGCCGCUUUCCUAUCGGUAUGGGUCGGCUUUUCAGAGUAGUUCGACCCUUGACAGAAGUGGUGUAUUCUAGAUGGACUCUUCCGAAGACUUGGCGUGCAAUCCAAGGAGAUAUAGGCAUCGGCAUAUUCCUUUUCUGUUGUAACCAACCUUGUGUAAAUCUUGACACCCCUAGCUUCUACAUAAGCCAGGGGGUCAUAGCUCGCACGGUACAUCAAGCUCAUUACAGUUAGGGUUUAGACCGCAACAUCGAUCUCACAGUAGUUCAACCUGGUACUCUGUACCAUCUCAUCAAUAACAGCAAAAGCGUGACGUAGGGUUUUACCUCCAUCAAGAGGACCCGAACCUGAGUAAAACACCACCCCCAUCGUAUCUUGUUACUCAUCGACCCUAGAUCCACAGUUCGGAACCCCUACUCGAGAUCGGCCGAUUUUCACACCGACAGCUGGUGGCCGGGCGUUGCAGCACAUCGGCGGUCCAACAUGGGCCGGCGAGAGGGGUGUGGCAGUGAUGCGGCGGGUGGCUUGGUGGUGGUGCAGGCCGGCUGGCGGUGACGGCGGAGGCGGCUCCGUGCGUCCGGAUCCGCCUCUGGCCCUGCGGGUCACGGGCGGCUUUUCUCGUCAUGGCGUGAUGCUGUGGGGGUAGCGCGACAACGGUGGAUGUGGAUGAUCUCAUCCAAUCUGGCCCUUACGGCUGGAUCGUGGCGCUCGGCACGGUAGGGCCUCCCUGGUGAGCUACCUCGGUUGCGGCGGCAGGUCGAUCAGGUCUCCCUCGUUGGCAGGCACACAUUUGCGGAUGACCUCGCGGAUCAUCUGCCCUGGUUGGGUUGGCACAGCUCUACCAGCGGAGCGUUUCAGGGUAACUAUCGGUCGAGGGCCGUCGGUUGAUCCAAAGCCGAGUCCUUUGUGUAGGUCUCGAGGAUGUCUGGUUGUAGGGUGGCGGCUCUAGCGGUGGGAGGCGCGGCGUUUGUGAGCAGAGCGUGCGUCUUAGGUGCGGACGGGCAACCAUGGCCUGGCGGCUGGCGUGAUUGAGGGUGGUUGACGGAAUUUGGGUAGGCUAGUAGGGGCGAGUGUCGGGGUACACCACUUGCCGAGUCCUUUGACUCACCGACGGUAGUGCUACCAACGUCGUCGUACACUUCCCGAAGGCUUCAUUGCCUCAUGCCGUCUUGCUCCGGGUGAAAACUUGAUCUUCCCGGAUUGGGCGGUGGCGGCUAUCUUGGUUGUACCCUUCUUGGAGACACUGCUUUGAAGGCUUGGAUUCGUUAUUGUCUGACUCACCUCUUUAUUGUUGUCGAUGGGGUGGUUUGUCGAUGCCCGACAUCUUUAUAUAUUGCCUUGGGUGUGUGUAUUGUGUGUGUUGUUUGGUCUUUCGGUUGUAUUCGAUAAUGGUUGCUUUAUCUUUACCUAAUAAUAAAGAGGCUAUCGCUUCCUUCGGAAUUUCCACCGCACCAGUUUGUUGGGGAACGUCGCAUGGGAAACAAAAAUUUUCCUACACGCACGAAGACCUAUCAUGGUGAUGUCCAUCUACGAGAGGGGAUGAGUGAUCUACGUACCCUUGUAGAUCGUACAGCAGAAGCGUUAGUGAACGCGGUUGAUGUAGUGGAACGUCCUCACGUCCCUCGAUCCGCCCCGCGAACAAUCCCGCGAUCAGUCCCACGAUCUAGUACCGAACGGACGGCACCUCCACGUUCAGCACACGUACAGCUCGACGAUGAUCUCGGCCUUCUUGAUCCAGCAAGAGAGAUGGAGAGGUAGAAGAGUUCUCCGGCAGCGUGACGGCGCUCCGGAGGUUGGUGAUGACCUUGUCUCAGCAGGGCUCCGCCCGAGCUCCGCAGAAAUGCGAUCUACAGGAAAAACCGUGGAGGUAUGUGGUCGGGCUACCGUGGAAAAGUCGUCUCAAAUCAGCCCUAAAACCUCCGUAUAUAUAGGUGGGAGGGAGGGGACCUUGCCUUGGGGCUCAAGGAGCCCCAAGGGGGUCGGCCGAGUCCAAGGGGGGAGGACUCCCCCCCCAAACCGAGUUGGACUUGGUUUGGUGGGAGGGACUCCCCCUUCCUUCCCACCUCCACCUUUUUUUUCUUUUUCUCUUGAUUUUCUCUUCUUGGCACAUAGAGCCCUUUUGGGCUGUCCCACCAGCCCACUAAGGGCUGGUGUGCCACCCUCAAGGCCUAUGGGCUUCCCUGGGGUGGGUUGCCCCCCCCGGUGAACUCCCGGAACCCAUUCGUCAUUCCCAGUACAUUCCCGGUAACUCCGAAAACCUUCCGGUAAUCAAAUGAGGUCAUCCUAUAUAUCAAUCUUCGUUUUCGGACUAUUCCGGAAACCCUCGUGACGUCCGUGAUCUCAUCCGGGACUCCGAACAACAUUAGGUAACCAACCAUAUAACUCAAAUACGCAUAAAACAACGUCGAACCAUAAGUGUGCAGACCCUGCGGGUUCGAGAACUAUGUAGACAUGACCCGAGAGACUCCUCGGUCAAUAUCCAAUAGCGGGACCCGGAUGCCCAUAUUGGAUCCUACAUAUUCUACGAAGAUCUUAUCGUUUGAACCUCAGUGCCAAGGAUUCAUAUAAUCCUGUAUGUCAUUCCCUUUGUCCUUCGGUAUGUUACUUGCCUGAGAUUCGAUCGUCAGUAUCCGUAUACCUAUUUCAAUCUCGUUUACCGGCAAGUCUCUUUACUCGUUUCGUAAUACAAGAUCCCGCAACUUACACUAAGUUACAUUGCUUGCAAGGCUUGUGUGUGAUGUUGUAUUACCGAGUGGGCCCCGAGAUACCUCUCCGUUCACACGGAGUGACAAAUCCCAGUCUUGAUCCAUACUAACUCAACGAACACCUUCGGAGAUACCUGUAGAGCAUAUUUAUAGUCACCCAGUUACGUUGCGACGUUUGAUACACACAAAGCAUUCCUCCGGUGUCAGUGAGUUAUAUGAUCUCAUGGUCAUAGGAAUAAAUACUUGACACGUAGAAAACAGUAGCAACAAAAUGACACGAUCAACAUGCUAUGUCUAUUAGUUUGGGUCUAGUCCAUCACGUGAUUCUCCUAAUGACGUGAUCCAGUUAUCAAGCAACAACACCUUGUUCAUAAUCAGAAGACACUGACUAUCUUUGAUCAACUGGCUAGCCAACUAGAGGCUUGCUAGGGACGGUGUUUUGUCUAUGUAUCCACACAUGUAAAUGAGUCUUCAUUCAAUACAAUUAUAGCAUGGAUAAUAAACGAUUAUCUUGAUACAGGAAUUAUAAUAAUAACUAUAUUUAUUAUUGCCUCUAGGGCAUAAUUCCAACAGUCUCCCACUUGCACUAGAGUCAAUAAUCUAGCCCUCACAUCACUAUGUGAAUUACAUUUUAAUAAAUCUAACACCCAUACAGUUCUGGUGUUGAUCAUGUUUUGGCCGUGGAAGAGGUUUAGUCAGCGGGUCUGCUACAUUCAGAUCCGUGUGCACUUUGCAUAUAUUCACGUCCUCUCCCUCGACGUAGUCGCGGAUGAGGUUGAAGCGUCGUUUGAUGUGUCUGGUCUUCUUGUGAAACCGUGGUUCCUUUGCUAAGGCAAUGGCACCAGUGUUGUCACAGAACAAGGUUAUUGGAUUCAGUGCGCUUGGCACCACUCCAAGAUCCGUCAUGAAUUGCUUCAUCCAGAUACCCUCCUUAGCUGCCUCCGAGGCAGCCAUGUACUCCGCUUCACAUGUAAAAUCUGCUACGACGCUUUGCUUGGAACUGCACCAGCUUACUGCACCCUCAUUAAGAAUAAAUACGUAUCCGGUCUGCGACUUAGAGUCGUCCGGAUCUGUGUCAAAGCUUGCAUCGACGUAACCUUUUACGGCGAGCUCUUUGUCACCUCCAUACACGAGAAACAUCUCCUUGGUCCUUUUCAGGUACUUCAGGAUAUUCUUGACCGCUGUCCAGUGAUCCACUCCUGGAUUACUCUGGAACCUACCUGCCAUACUUAUGGCCAGGCUAACAUCCGGUCUAGUGCACAGCAUCGCAUACAUGAUAGAACCUAUGGCUGAAGCAUAGGGGACGGAGCGCAUAUGCUCUCUAUCUUCAUCAGUUGCUGGGCACUGAGUCUUACUCAAUCUCGUACCUUGUAGAACUGGCAAGAACCCUUUCUUGGACUGUUCCAUUUUGAACCUCUUCAAAACUUUAUCAAGGUAUGUGCUUUGUGAAAGUCCUAUCACGCGUUUUGAUCUAUCCCUAUAGAUCUUAAUGCCUAGAAUGUAAGCAGCUUCUCCUAGGUCCUUCAUAGAGAAACUUUUAUUCAAGUAAUCCUUUAUGCUCUCUAAAAACUCUACGUUGUUUCCAAUCAGUAAUAUGUCAUCCACAUAUAAUAUUAGAAACGCCACAGAGCUCCCACUCACUUUCUUGUAAAUACAAGAUUCUCCAACCACUUGUAUAAACCCAAAUGCUUUGAUCACCUCAUCAAAGCGUUUGUUCCAACUCCGAGAUGCUUGCACCAGUCCACAAAUGGAUCGCUGGAGCUUGCACACCUUGUUUGAGAUGCUCGCACCAGUCCAUAAAUGGAUCGAUGGAGCUUGCACACCUUGUUAGCAUUCUUAGGAUCGACAAAACCUUCGGGUUGUAUCAUAUACAACUCUUCCUUAAGGAGACCGUUAAGGAACGCCGUUUUGACAUCCAUCUGCCAGAUUUCAUAAUCGAAAAAUGCAGCUAUUGCUAACAUCAUUCUAACGGACCUAAGCAUCGCUACGGGUGAGAAAGUCUCAUCAUAGUCAACUCCUUGAACUUGUGAAAAACCCUUUGCCACAAGUCGAGCUUUAUAAACGGUCACAUUACCGUGAGCGUCCGUCUUCCUCUUAAAGAUCCAUUUGUUCUGAAUGGCCUUGCGGCCCUCAGGCAGUACCUCCAAAGUCCACACUUUGUUCUCAUACAUGGAUCCUAUCUCGGACUUCAUGGCUUCCAGCCAUUUGUUGGAAUCUGGGCCCACCAUUGCUUCUUCAUAAUUCGCAGGUUCAUUGUUGUCUAACAACAUGAUUGAUAAGACGGGAUUACUGUACCACUCUGGAGCAGCACGUGGUCUCGUCGACCUGUGUGGUUCGACAGAAACUUGAACUGGAGUUUCAUGAUCAUCAUCAUUAACUUCCUCCCCAACCGGCGUCGCAAUGACAGAGGUUUCCCCUUGCCCUGCGCCACCAUCCAAAGGGAUGAGAGGUUCGACAACCUCGUCAAGUUCUAUCUUCCUCCCACUCAAUUAUCUCGAGAGAAACUCCUUCUCGAGAAAAGCUCCGUUUUUAGCAACAAACACUUUGCCCUCGGAUUUGAGAUAGAAGGUGUACCCAACUGUCUCUUUUGGGUAACCUAUGAAGAUGCACUUUUCCGCAUUGGGUUCCAGCUUUUCAGGCUGAAGCUUUUUGACAUAAGCAUCACAUCCCCAAACUUUAAGAAACGACAACUUUGGCCUUUUGCCAUACCACAGUUCGUAUGGUGUCGUCUCAACGGAUUUUGAUUGUGCCCUAUUUAAAGUGAAUGCAGUUGUUUCUAAUGCAUAGCCCCAAAAUGAUAACGGCAAAUCGGUAAGAGACAUCAUAGAUCGCACCAUCUCUAAUAGAGUACGAUUACGACGUUCGGACACACCAUUACGCUGUGGUGUUCCAGGCGGUGUUAACUGUGAAACAAUUCCACAUUGUCUUAAGUGAGCACCAAACUCGAAACUCAGAUAUUCACCCCCACGAUCAGACCGUAGGAACUUGAUCUUCUUGUUACGAUGAUUUUCCACUUCACUCUGAAAUCGCUUGAACUUUUCAAAUGUUUCAGACUUGUGCUUCAUCAAGUAGACAUAACCAUAUCUACUUAAAUCGUCAGUGAAGGUGAGAAAAUAACGAUAUCCGCCGCGUGCCUCCACGCUCAUCGGACCACACACAUCGGUAUGUAUGAUUUCCAACAAGUCACUUGCACGCUCCGUUGUUCCUGAGAACGGAGUCUUAGUCAUCUUGCCCAUGAGGCAUGGUUCGCACGUGUCAAGUGAAUCAAAGUCAAGUGACUCCAAAAGUCCAUCAGCAUGGAGUUUCUUCAUGCGCUUUACACCAAUAUGACCUAAGCGGCAGUGCCACAAAAAUAUGGCGCUAUCAUUGUUAACUCUAACUCUUUUGGUCUCAAUGUUAUGUAUAUGCGUAUCGUUAUCAAGAUUCAAUAUGAACAAUCCUCUCACAUUCGGUGCAUGACCAUAAAAGAUGUUACUCAUAGAAAUAGAACAACCAUUAUUCUCUGACUUAAAAGAGUAACCGUCUCGCAAUAAACAAGAUCCAGAUAUAAUGUUCAUGCUCAACGCAGGCACCAAAUAACAAUGAUUUAAGUUCAUCACUAAUCCUGACAGGAACUGAAGUGACACUGUGCCGACGGCGAUUGCAUCAUCCUUGGAACCAUUUCCUACGCGCAUCGUCACUUCAUCUUUCGCCAGCCUUCGCCUAUUCCGCAGUUCCUGUUUCGAGUUGCAAAUAUGAGCAACAGAACCGGUAUCGAAUACCCAGGCACUACUACGAGAGCCGGUUAAGUACACAUCAAUAACAUGUAUAUCAAAUAUACCUGAUUUUUCUUUGCCCGCCUUCUUAUCUGUCAGAUACUUGGAGCAAUUGCGCUUCCAGUGACCCAUACCCUUGCAAUAGUAACACUCCGUUUCCGGCUUAGGUCCAGCUUUGGGUUUCUUCGUCGGAUUGGCAAUAGGCUUGCCGCUCCUUUUCGAAUUGCCCUUCUUGCCUUUGCCGUUUCUCUUGAAACUAGUGGUCUUAUUCACCAUCAACACUUGAUGCUCUUUACGGAGUUCAGACUCUGCGACUUUCAGCAUCGCAAACAACUCGCCGGGAGACUUGUUCAUCCCUUGCAUGUUGUAGUUCAACACAAAGCCUUUAUAGCUUGGCGGCAGUGAUUGAAGGAUUCUGUCAGUGAUAGCUUCUUGCGGGAGUUCAAUCCCCAGCUCAGCUAGACGGUUUGAGUACCCAGACAUUCUGAGCACAUGUUCACUGACAGAUGAGUUUUCCUCCAUCUUGCAAGCAUAGAAUUUAUCAGAGGUCUCAUACCUCUCGAUCCGGGCGUUCUUCUGAAAGAUAAACUCCAACUCCUGGAACAUCUCAAAUGCUCCAUGACGCUCAAAGCGACGUUGAAGUCCCGGUUCUAAGCCAUACAAGACUGCACAUUGAACUACUGAGUAGUCCUCCUUACGUGCUAACCAAGCGUUCUUAACAUCCUGAUCAGCCGUAGCGGAUGGUUCAUCUCCUAACGCAGCAUUAAGGACAUAAUCCUUCUUCCCAGCUUGUAAGACUAGCUUAAGAUUACGAGCCCAGUCUACAAAGUUGCUUCCAUCAUCUUUCAACUUAGCUUUCUCUAGGAACGUAUUAAAAUUCAGGAUGACUGUCGCGUGAGCCAUGAUCUACAACACAAAUAUAUUCAAAGUGGACUUAGACUAUGUUCAAGAUAAUUAGAGUUUAACUUAAUCAAAUUAUUCGCUAAACUCCCACUCAAAAAGUACAUCUCUCUAGUCAUUUGAGUGGUUCAUGAUCCACUUACACUAGCUCAAGUCCGAUCAUCACGUGAGUUGAGUAUAGUUUCAGUGCUAAGCAUCCCUAUGCUAAUCAUAUCAUCUAUAUGAUUCAUGAUCCACCUUUCGGUCUCAUGUGUUCCGAGGCCAUGUCUGCACAUGCUAGGCUCGUCAAGCUUAACCCGAGUGUUCCGCGUGCCCAACUGUUUUGCACCCGUUGUAUGUGAACGUUGAGUCUAUCACACCCGAUCAUCACCUGGCGUCUCGAAACGACGAACUGUAGCAACGGUGCACAGUCGGGGAGAACACAAUUUCGUCUUGAAAUUUUAGUGAGAGAUCACCUCAUAAUGCUACCGUCGUUCUAAGCAAAAUAAGGUGCAUAAAAGGAUUAACAUCACAUGCAAUUCAUAAGUGACAUGAUAUGGCCAUCAUCACGUGCUCCUUGAUCUCCAUCACCAAAGCACCAACACGAUCUUCUUGUCACCGGCGCCACGCCAUGAUCUCCAUCAACGUGUCGCCAUCGGGGUUGUCGUGCUACUCAUGCUAUGGCGCCACACCAUGAUCUCCAUCAACGUGUUGCCAUCGGGGUUGUCGUGCUACUCAUGCUAUUACUACUAAAUCUACAUCCUAGCAAAAUAGUAAACGCAUCUGCAAGCACACACGUUAGUAUAAAGACAACCCUAUGGCUCCUGCUGGUUGCCGUACCAUCGACGUGCAAGGCGAUAUUUCUAUUACAACAUGAUCAUCUCAUACAUCCAAUAUAUCACAUCACAUCAUUGGCCAUAUCACAUCACAAGCAUACCCUGCAAAAACAAGUUAGACGUCCUCUAAUUUUGUUGUUGCAUGUUUUACGUGGUGACCAUGGGUAUCGAGUAGGAUCGCAUCUUACUUACGCAAACACCACAAUGGAGAUAUAUGAGUUGCUAUUUAACCUCAUCCAAGGACCUCCUCGGUCAAAUCCGAUUCAACUAAAGUUGGAGAAACCGACACUUGCCAGUCAUCUUUGAGCAACGGAGUUACUCGUAACGAUGAAACCAGUCUCUCGUAAGCGUACGAGUAAUGUCGGUCCAAGCCGCUUCAAUCCAACAAUACCGCGGAAUCAAGAAAAGACUAAGGAGGGCAGCAAAACGCACAUCACCUCCCACAAAAACUUUUGUGUUCUACUCGAGAAGACAUCUACGCAUGAACCUAGCUCAUGAUGCCACUGUUGGGGAACGUCACAUGGGAAACAAAAAAUUUCCUACGCGCACGAAGACCUAUCAUGGNNNNNNNNNNNNNNNNNNNNNNNNNNNNNNNNNNNNNNNNNNNNNNNNNNNNNNNNNNNNNNNNNNNNNNNNNNNNNNNNNNNNNNNNNNNNNNNNNNNNAGAAGAGAAGAAACUCAAAUAAGAUUCAUAGAUAAUCUGAUCAUAAAUCCACAAUUCAUUGGAUCUCGACAAACACACCGCAAAAGAAGAUUACAUCGGAUAGAUCUCCAUGAAGAUCAUGGAGAACUUUGUAUUGAAGAUCCAAGAGAGAGAAGAAGCCAUCUAGUUACUAGCUAUGGACCCAUAGGUCUAUGGUGAACUACUCACGCAUCAUCGGAGAGGUCAUGGUGUUGAUGAAGAAGCCUUCCGUGUCCGAAUCACCCCUCCGGCAGGGCACCAGAACAUGCCCCAGAUGGGAUCUUGCGGAGACAGAAGCUUGCGGCGGCGAAAAAGUACUUUCGAUGAUCUCCUCAUUUUUUUUGGGAUUUUUAGGGAAUAUAUAGUCGCAACCCCUAGGGCAGAGGGCGUCCAGGGGGCCCACAAGCCUGUGGGCUGCGGCCUCCCCCCCUGGCCGCGGGGUGAGGGCUUGUGGGGCCCCUAGGGCCCCAUGCUUUGGCUCUCAAGUCUCCUGAUCUUCUUCCGUUACGGAAAAUUCUUUUUGGGGAUUUUAUUCCGUUUGGACUCCGUUUCAAAAUCUCCUCUGAAAGGGGUCAAAAACAUGGAAAAACAGGAACUGGCACUUGGCACUGAGUUAAUAAGUUAGUCCCAAAAAAUAUAUAAAAGGCAUGCAAAACAUCCAAAGUCUGACAAGAUAAUAGCAUCAAACCAUCAAAAUUAUAGAUACGUUGGAGACGUAUCAAGCAUCCCCAAGCUUAACUCCUGCUCGUCCUCGAGUAGGGAAGUGGUAAAGAAUGAUUUUUUUAUGUGGAAUGCUACCUAGCAUAGUUGUCCUUUGCAACUUCUUUCAGGUGACAUGAAUGUUCAGAUCCGUAAGAUUCAAAACAAUAGUUUGCUAUUGACAUGAAAACAAUAAUACUUCAAGCAAACUAGCAAAGUAAUCAUGAACUUUCAAAAUAACAAGGCCAAGGAAAGUUACCCCUACAAAAUCAUAUAGUCUAGCUAUGCUCCAUCAUCCUCACACAACUAAUUUAAAUCAUGUACAACCCCGGUAUUGGCCAAGUAAUUUCUUUCGCACUCUUACUUUCUCAAACUUUUUAUAACUAUCACGCAAUACAUGAGCGUGAGCCAUGGAUAUAGCACUAUAGGUGGAAUAGAGUGUGGUGGUGGUUGUGAGACAAAAAGGAGGAGAUGGUCACAUUGACUCGGCGUAUCAAAAGGCUAUGGAGAUGCCCAUUAAUAGAUAUCAAUGUGAAUGAGUAGGGAUUUCCAUACAAAGGAUGAACUAGAGCUAUAAGUGUAUGAAAGCUCAAAAGUAGAACUAGUGGGUGUGCAUCCAACUUGCUUGCUCACGAAGACCUAGGGUAAUUUUGAGGAAGCCCAUCAUUGGAAUAUACAAGCCAAGUUAUAUAAUAAAGAUUCCCACUAGCAUAUGGUAGUGACAAAGCAAGAAGCUCUCAAUCAUGAAGAACAUGGUGUUAUUAUGAAGCACAAGUGUGGAAAAAGAUAGUAGCAUUGUCCCUUCUCUCUUUUUCUCUCCUCUUUUUUUGGGGCUCUUAGGCCUCUUUUUUUUAUUUGGGCUCUUUGGCCUCUCUUUUUUUAUUUCCUCACAUGGGACAAUGCUCUAAUGAUGAUCAUCACACUUUUAUUUACUCACAACUCAAAGCUUAGAACGAUGAUGACUCUAUAGGAAAUGCCUCCGGCAGUGUACCGGGAUGUGCAACGAUCUAGCUUGGCGUAUAACGUUGAAACAUCUCGCUAGCUAUCUUACGAGCAUGCAAUGGCAACAUGAGAGUGACGGCACAAGUCAUGAGAUGGAAUGGUGGGAGUUGCAUGGCAAUAUAUCUCGGAAUGGCUAUGAAAAUACCAUAGUAUGUAGAUAUGGUGGCUGUUUUGAGGGAGGCAUUUGGUGGGUUUGUGUACCGGCGAGAAUUGCGCGGCACUAGAGAGGCUAGCAAUGGUGAAAGGUGAAAGUGAAUCUAUACCAUGGACUCACAUUAGUCAUGAAGAACUCGCAUACUUGUUGCGAAAGUUUUUAUUAGUAAUCAAAACAAAGUGCUAAACGCAUACUCCAGGGGAAGGGUUGGUAGGUGUAAACCAUCGCGUGAUCCCGACCUCAACACAAAGGAUGACAAUCAAUAGAUCAAUUAUGCUCCGACUUCCUAACAUAGCUGUUCACCAUACGUGCAUGUUACGGGAAUCACUAACUUCAACAGAAGUACUUCUAGAUUCACAACACCUUACUAACAUAACUCUUAAUAUUACCAAAUCCAAGUGUCAAAACUAAUUGUGAGGAAUCAAAAACUUCUCUUUCUACUCAAUGCACAUGAAGAUGGAGGUUUUUGUAUCCUCUUUGGGUACCUACCAUAUUUGGAACUACUUUCAUAGCAUAAGCCAACUACCAAGUCAUGCAGCAUCGUGCUCUAAUAGAUAUAAGUGAAGCACAUAGAGCAAAAUUAUCUCGCUCAAAAGAUAUAAGUGAAGCAUUAUGAGCAUUCUAGCAAAAUCACGAUGAGUGCAUGUCUCUCUCUCUCAAAAAGGUUCGCAGCAAGGAUGAUUGUGACACAAAAAAAUAAAAGACUCCUAAGAUACAAGACGCUCCAAGCAAAACACAUAUCAUGUGGUGAAUAAAAAUAUAGCUCCAAGUAAUGUUACCGAUGGAUUGAAGACGAAAGAGGGGAUGCCUUCCCGGGACAUCCCCAAGCUUAGGCUUUUUGGUGUACUUGAAUUUAGAUUGGGAUUCCUUGGGCAUCCCCAAGCUUGAGAUCUUUCCACUCCUUAUCUCUUUGUCCAUGAGAACAUCACCCAAAACUUGAAAACUUCACAACACAAAACUUAACAGAAACUCGUGAUAUCAUUAGCACAAGAAAACAAACUACCACCUCUUUUGGUACUGUAGAAAACUUGAAUUCUAUCUAUAUUGGUGUUAGGAUACUGUACUCCCACUUUUCCAUGGCUAGUACCCCCCCCCCCGAUACUAACCAUAGUUUCAUCAAAACAAGCAACCAACUCAACAAAAACAGAAUCUGUCAAAAACAGACCAGUGUGUAGCAAUCUGUAUACUUCGUAUACUUCUGGUACCUAAAAAAUUCUGAUGAAUUACGACUGCCUGGGAAAAAGGCAUAUCAACCAGCACCAAAAAGAAUCAACUCAAAAGCUCUUUCUGAAUAAAAAUGACAAAUCAUCUCGUGAGCGAAAAGUUUCUGUCUUUUUCCAGCAGGAUCAAACAGCCAUUACCAAGACUAAUCAUAAAGGUUUUGCUUUGCUCAAACACAAAAAGAAACACAAAAAACACAAUCACAACAGAAUUAUGAAAGUGUGGACGCAACAAAACAGAAAGAAAAAUAUAAAUUCAUUGGGUUGCCUCCCAACAAGCGCUAUUGUUUAACGCCCUUAGCUAGGCAUUGAAGCGAUAGAAUCACGUAUCGUCGUCUUUGGUUCUCAAACCAUAAGUGGCCCUUAUCAUGGAUUCAUAAGGCAAUAUUAUUUUCUUUCUAGGAAAGUGUUCCAUGCCCUUCCUUAAAGGAAAUUGAAAUCUAAUAUUCCCUUCCUUCAUAUCGAUGAUAGCACCGAUAGUCCUUAGGAAAGGUCUACCAAGAAUAAUAGGGCAUGUAGGAUUGCAAUCAAUGUCAAGCACAAUGAAAUCCACGGGUACAUAGUUCCUAUUUGCAAUAAUAAGAACAUCAUUGAUCCUUCACAUGGGUUUCUUGACAGUAGAAUAAGCAAGUUGCAAAUUAAGAGAACACUCUUCGAUCUCAUUAAAACCCAGAACAUCACAUAAAGACUUUGGCAUCGCAGAAACACUAGCAUCCAAAUCACACAAAGCAUUGCACUCAUAGUUUUUGAUUUUGAUUUUGAUGGUAGGUUCCCACUCAUCAUGAAGCUUUCUAGGGAUAGAGACUUCCAAUUCAAGUUUCUCUUCAAGAGAUUUUAUCAUAGCUUCGACAAUAUGAUCGGUAAAGACCUUGUUUUGGCUAUAAGCGUGUGGAGAGUUUAACAUGGAUUGCAUCAAAGAAAUGCAUUCAAUCAAGGAGCAACUAUCAUAAUUGAAUCCUUGAAAUCCACGGUAGUAAUUUCAUUACUACUCAAAGUUUUAACAUCUUCUACUCCACUUUCAAUGCUUUUAGCAUCAAGAUAGAUGGACUCCGAAUCAUUGGGGCACUUUUCAACCAAAGUGGAUUCAUAUCCAGCCCCAUAAUCAUUAGGUUUGACACAAUAAAACAAAGAUUCAAUGGGAGUCGCACCAAGCACCUUAAGAUCUUCGGGAUUCUCAUCGGGGGAACACGCCUUUUUAAGCCAUUCAUGUCUAGCACGAAUUUGGGCGGUUCUUUCUUGGCUCUCAAUCAUGGAAACACGCAUAGCUUUAAAAGUUUCAUCCAUGUUGAUUUUGGUAGGAGCACAUCUAACUUUCAAAGCAUCAACAUCAAUAGAAAUUCUAUCAACGCUCUUAGCCAAAUCGUCAAUUUUGAGUAGUUUUUCCUCUAUGGACGCAUUGAAACCUUUUGAGAGUUGAUGAACUCUUUGAUAUUACUCUCUAGAUCAAAGGGUAAUCUAUUGUAAUUUCCAUGAGUAUUGUUGUAGGAGUUGCCAAAAUUAUUAGAGGAGUUACUAGGAAAAGGCCUAGGAACAUAGUUUCCUCUAAAAGCAUUGUUGUUGCCAAAGUUAUUCCUACCAAAAAAAUUAGCAUCCAAGCUAGCGUUACUACUCUCAAUCACAGAAGACAAGGGCAUAUCAUUAGGAUCCAAAGGAGCACUUCUACUAGCAACCAAAUUCAUUAACACAUCCAUCUUAGCACUCAAUGAGUUAAUUUCCUCUAUAGCGUGUACCUUCUUACUAGUAGGUGACCUUUCAGUGUGCCACCGAGAGUAGUUUGUCAUGAUGUUGUCUAGGAGUUUUGUGGCUUCCCCUAACGUGAUUUCCAUGAACGUUCCACCUGAGGCGGAGUCCAAGAUAUUUCUAGAAGCGAAAUUCAAGCCAGCGUAAAAGAUUUGAAUAAUCAUCCAAAGACUCAAGCCAUGAGCGGGACAAUUUCUAAUCAUUAAUUUCAUUCUCUCCCAAGAUUGUGCAACAUAUUCAUUAUCAAGUUGCUUGAAAUUCAUGAUAUCAUUACGGAGAGAGAUAAUCUUAGCCGGCGGAAAAUACUUGGAUAUAUAAGCAUCUUUGCACUUAUCCCAAGAAUCGAUACUAUUUUGGGGCAAAAAGAAAACCAAGUUUUUGCGCGAUCUCGCAACGAGAAAGGAAAAAAGCUUCAAUUUAAUCACGUCAUUAUCCACAUCUCUCUUCUUUUGCAUAUCGCAAAGCUCAAUGAAGGUAUUGAGAUGGGAUGCGGCAUCUUCACUAGGAAGGCCGGAGAAUUGCUCUUUCAUAACAAGAUUCAGCAAAGCAGCAUUGAUUUCGUAUGACUCCGCACUAGUGGCGGGAGCAAUCGGAGUACUAAUAAAAUCAUUAUUAUUAGUAUUCGAGAAGUCACAAAGUUUGGUGUUUUCAUUCAUGGUGACUUCGGCAAGCAGGCAAGCACACAAGCAAACAAAGAGCAAGCGAGGAAAAAGGGCGAAUGAGAAGGCGAACGAAAAAGGCAAACGAAAAAGGCAAAUUGUGAAGUGGGGGAGAGGAAAACGAGAGGCAACUGGCAAACAAAGUAAAUGCAAGAUAUGAGUUUGCGACACCUACUUGGAUGAGUUCUUGACUUGAUCUUCCUCCCCGGCAACGGCGCCAGAAUCCUUCUGCUACGACAACAGACAACAGCGCCAGAAAUUGACACGUUGACGGAGGCUCGGCUUGCGUUGGUUUUUCCCUUGAAGAGGAAAGGGUGAUGCAGCACGGGAGCAGUAAGUAUUUCCCUCAGUUUGAGAACCAAGGUAUCGAUCCAGAAGGAGGGUCUCGUCAAGUCUAGAGUACCUGCGCAAACACAAACAAGCUUGCACCCAACGCUUCAAAGGGGUUGUCAGUCCCUCCAAGAUUGUUUGCAAAGUGAGAUCCGAAGGCAGAAAGUGCAACAAAGUAAAAAGUGUAAGGCUGAAAAUAUGGUGUGGAGUAGACCUUGGGGGCAUAGUUUUCACUAGAGGCUUCUCUCAAAAUAGCAAAUAUCACGGUGGGUGAACAAAUUACUGUCGAGCAAUUGAUAGAACCGCGCAAAGUCAUGAAGAUAUCUAAGGCAAUGAUCAUACAUAUAGGCAUCACGUCCGAGACAAGUAGACCGAUACUUUCUGCAUCUACUACUAUUACUCCACACAUCGACCGCUAUCCAGCAUGCAUCUAGUGUAUUGAGUUCAUGACAAAUAGAGUAACGCCUUAAGCAAGAUGACAUGAUGUAGAGGGAUAAUAUCAAACCAAUGAUGAAAACCCCAUCUUUUUACCCUUGAUGGCAACAACACGAUACGUGCCUUGCUACCCCUUCUGUCACUAGGUGAGGUCACCGCACGGUAUGAACCCAAAACCAAGCACUUCUCCCAUUGCAAGAAUCAUAGAUCUAGUUGGCCAAACAAAACCCACAACUCAAAGAGAAUUACAAGGAUAUGAAAUCAUACAUAAGAGAGAUCAGAAGAAACUCAAAUAAGAUCCAUAGAUAAUCUGAUCAUAAAUCCACAAUUCAUCGGAUCUUGACAAACACACCGCAAAAGAAGAUUACAUCAGAUAGACCCCCAUGAAGAUCAUGGAGAACUUUGUAUUGAAGAUCCAAGAGAGAGAAGAAGCCAUCUAAUUACUAGCUAUGGACCCGUAGGUCUAUGGUGAACUACUCACGCAUCAUCGGAGAGGUCAUGCUAUUGAUGGAGAAGCCUUCCGUGUCCGAAUCCCCCCUCCGACAGGGCACCAGGACGUGCCCCAGAUGGGAUCUUGCGGAGACAGAAGCUUGCGGCGGCGAAAAAGUACUUUCGAUGAUCUCCUAAUUUUUUUGGAAUUUUUAGGGAAUAUAUAGGUGCAACCCCUAGGGCAGAGGGCGUCCAGGGGGCCCACAAGCUUGUGGGUCGCGGCCUCCCCCCCCUGGCCGUGGGGUGAGGGCUUGUGGGGCCCCUGGGGGCCCCCUGCCUUGGCUCUCAAGUCUCCUCAUCUUCUUUCGUUACGGAAAAAUUCUUUUCGGGGAUUUUAUCCCGUUUGGACUCCGUUUCAAAAUCUCCUCUGAAAGGGGUCAAAAACAUUGAAAAAGAAGGAACUGGCACCUGGCACUGAGUUAAUAAGUUAGUCCCAAAAAAUAUAUAAAAGGCAUGCAAAACAUCCAAAGUCUGACAAGAUAAUAGCAUGAAACCAUCAAAAAUUAUAGUAUAAUACGUUGGAGACGUAUCACAUACCUACCUAUGGAUUGAAUAAGAUCCCUCAAGUAAGUUUUCAUCGGUGCAAGCAAUAAAAAUUGCUCCCUAACAUGUAUGAUCUAUUAGUGUGUGGAAAAUAAGCUUUGUACGAAACUGUGAUGAGGAAGACAUAAAAGCGACAGACUGCAUAAUAAAGUUCUUUAUCACAGGAGGCAAUAUAAAGUGACGUUCCUCCGCACUAAGAGGACACGCAUCCAAACCUCAAAAGUGCAUGACAACCUCUGCUUCCCUCUGCGAAGGGCCUAUCUUGUACCUUUACUUUUUUCUCUUGAAAGAGUCAUGGUGAUCUUCACCAAUUCCUUGUUUCGCCUUUAUCUUGGCUAACGUCAUCUGCUAGGGAUUGAUCUAUAUUCAUAUGUCAACUUGGAGGUAAGCAUUCAUGAAUUAUUAUUGUUGACAUUACCCUUGAGGUAAGCAGUUGGGAGGCAAAACUAUAAGCCCCAAUCUUUCUCUGUGUCCAGCUGAAACUUUGAUCUGAUGAGUACCACGUGAGUUGUAGCAAUUGUAGAGAACGAAAAGAUGAUUGAGUAUGUGGAUUUGCUUUACAAGCUCUUAUUUGACGCUUUCUGAUGUUGUGAUAAAUUGCAAUUGCUUCAAUGACUAAAGGCUAUCGGUUGUUACUUCUUGGUAAGGUUCUUGAUCCAUACUUUACUUUGUGAAGGAAUUGUCACUUUAGCAUGAGAGAUUAUAUGUUGGUAUUGUUGUUCUGAUCAUGAUCAUGAUGCAGGCAUGUUCGUAUCUUGUUUUGUCGACACCUCUCUCCCUAAACAUGUGGACAUACUUAUUGAGCUAGGCUUUCGCUUGAGGACAAGCGAGGUCUAAGCUUGGGGGAGUUGAUACGUCCAUUUUGCAUGAUGCUUUCAUGUUGAUAUUUAUUGCUUUUGGGGCUGUUAUUUCACUUAACUGUACAAUACUUAUGCCUUUUCUCUCUUAUUUUGCAAGGUUUACUUGAAGAGGGAGAAUGCUGGCAGCUCGAAUUCUGGCCUGAAACUGGAGCAAGUUUGAGAUGCCUAUUCUGCACAACUCCAAACGCCGUAAAAAUCAACGAGGAUUUUUUUGGGAAUUAUAAAAAAUACUGGGCCGAAGAAGUGCCACAGGGGCGCCAGCAGAUGGCCACAAGUCUGCUAGGCGCGGCCACCCCCCUGGCCGCGCCUAGGGGGCUUGUGGGCACCCAGCUGGCCCUCUGGGCCACCUCUUCUACUAUAUGAAGGGUUUCGUUCGGAAAAAAUAACGAGGAGGCUUUUUCGAGAAUUCGCCGCCGCCACGAGGCGGAACUUGAGCAGAACCAAUCUAAAGCUACGGCAGGACGAUCUUGCCGGGGAAACUUCCCUCCCGGAGGGGGAAAUCAUCGCCAUCGUCAUCACCAACACUCCUCUCAUCGGAGGGGACUCAUCAUCAUCAACAUCUUCAUCAGCACGAUCUCAUCUCCAAACCCUAGUUCAUCACUUGUAACCAAUCUCCGUCUCGCGACUCCGAUUGGUACUUGUAAGGUUGCUAGUAGUGUUAAUUACUCUUUGUAGUUGAUGCUAGUUGGAUUACUUGGUGGAAGAGUUUAUGUUUAGAUACUUGAUGCUACUCAUUACCUCUCUGGUCAUCAAUAUGAUUAUUCUUUGUGAGUAGUUACUUUUGUUCCUGAGGACAUGGGAUAAGUCAUGCUAAUAGUAGUCAUGUGAAUUUGGUAUUCGUUCGGUAUUUUGAUGUGUUGUAUGUUGUUUUUCCUCUAGUGGUGUUAUGUGAACGUCGACUACAUAACACUUCACCAUUAUUUGGGCCUAGAGGAAGGCAUUGGGAAGUAGUAAGUAGAUGAUGGGUUGCUAGAGUGACAGAAGCUUAAACCCUAGUUUAUGCGUUACUUCGUAAGGGGCUGAUUUGGAUCCACUAGUUUAAUGAUAUGGUUAGACUUUGUCUUAAUUCUUCUUUCGUAGUUGCGGAUGCUUGCGAGAGGGGUUAAUCAUAAGUGGGAUGCUUGCCCAAGUAACGACAGUACCCAAGCGCAGGUCCACCCACAUAUCAAACUAUCAAAGUAACGAACGUUAAUCAUAUGAACAUGAUGAAAAAUAGCAUGACAGAAAUUCCUGUGUGUCCUCGGGAGCAUUUUUCCUCCUAUAAGACUUUGUCCAGGCUUGUCCCUUGCUACAAAAGGGAUUGGGCCACUUUGCUGCACCGUUUCUACUUUUGUUACUUGUUGCUUGCUACGAAUCAUCUCACCACACAAUCACUUGUUACUGAUAAUUUCAAUGCUUGCAGAUAUUUCCUUGCUAAAAACCACUUGUCAGAUCCUUCUGCUCCUCGUUGGGUUUGACACUCUUACUUAUCGAAAGGACUAAGAUAGAUCCCCUAUACUUGAGGGUCAUCAGUCAUCCUCGGAAGACCCUUUUUAAACACCGCAGGGGCUGUUAUAGAUUGCAAAAAAGGCAAUGUCACUUUCCAUGUCAACGGUAAUGAGCAUACGGUGCACUUUCCGAAGAAACAAUAUCGAGUACAUUGCAUCAAUGCUAUCGAAAAAACUUCAUCGAUUCUUAUUGGGAACUUUGAAUGCCAUAUUCCUCCUGUCAAGAUGAAGUAUGAUUUGCUUGUUGGGGAGAUACACAUCCCCAUUGAGGUAACGUAGUGACUAUUCGAAAAUUCUCCGUUCUCUUUUGCGAUUCGAAAAGUUUGUCAAGGAGACUUGAUCAACCUCACUGACGGAUUUCUUUCGAUGACCAUGAGACGCAUGAAUCGAGGAGUCACAAACCUCUGUUCCAAGCUUUCAUCUUCGGUUGCUUAGAAGAAAAAUGAUAGAUUUAGUUUAGUUUUCCCUGUUUUCUGUUUUAGCGUCUCGUAGAAAAGUACCCCGAAAAUAAAAGUUCUCCGAACGUCCUGAAAAUCAAGUAUGAUUUUUUCUGGAAUUUUUGAAAAGUACUGAGGUGAAGAGCUAGUCUGGGGGCUGCACCAGUGGGCCACAAGCCGUGGAGGCGCGGCCACCCCCGUGGUCGUGCCUACCUAGCUUGUGGGGCCCACAUGCACCCCCUCCACUCAUUCUAGCUCCCAUCUGCUUCUCCUACCUCCAGAAAAAAUUGUUUUGCAGCUCAAACCCGUGUUCUUUCUCUUCUUGCAGGGAUUUUCGAUCUCCUUGCUCAAAGCACCAUUCUCCGAACUGUUUUGGGGGAAAUUACUCAUUGGUAAGUGACUCCUCCAUUGGUACAAUUAGUUUUUGCUCUAGUGCCUUAUAGUUCACGUAUUUUUGCUGCCUUGGUGACCCUGUUCUUGAGUUUUGCAUGCUAAUUUUAGUUGGUCCCAAGUAGUUUUGAUGCGUAAUAUGGCCUCUAGGCACUUGUGGGAGUAGUUGUUAUGAGUUUUGUUGAGCCUUGUUCACUUUUCCUUAGAGUCACUAAAAAUUUCAGAAAUUUUCAAAGAUAGAAAAGGGAAAAGAUGAGGAGGUUCUUAAGAGGCUCUUCAAGCCGUGAUCCCAAGGAUGAUGGAAGAGAGAAGAAGCCCAAGUAUCCGGUCCCUCGAGUUGCAGAAGUUCGAGCGUGCGAAUGGCCAAGCGAUGUGUUCUUACGCGUCGCCGGACUUUAUGAGGACUUUUAUCACUUGGUGGAGAACGUAGGCCUUACCGCCUUCGUUGAAGAUAAGUGUCCGCAAUACCUCCUCUUCACUAAUAUCUUCGUACAGAGCUUUAACUUCUAUCCGAGGAAGAAUCCUCCUAUGGUUGAGUUCAAACUUUAUGAUAUCCCCCAGCGCAUGUCACUCCAGGAUUUUUGCAAUGUUUGCAAAUUACCUUACGUUGGGGAUAUUCAUGAACCUCGUCCACUGGACUUGGAGGCUUUCAUCGAUACAAUUGUUGUAGGAGAGGAGAGAGGAGUGUCUUGUGCUAGAUCUGCUAGCAUAUAUUUUCCCGUGCUUCGGUACUUCUCACUAUUCGUGAGAAAAUGUUUGAUUGGUCGUGGGAAAGCUGGGUCCCUUAGCUCUCCAGAUCUUGCGGUCUUGCGUGAAGCCCUUCAUAAUGACAAAACUUAUAGCUUGGGCGCUAUAGUAGCUCAACGGUUGAACAUGAACCGUUCUAAAGGCGUUGUCUAUGGAGGUAUCUAUGCUACUCGUCUUGCUAGACACUUUGAGAUACCUAUUAGACUGGACGAGGAAGAAGAAAUUCUUCUUCCCGAGAGAUAUCUAGAUUACGGUAGCAUGGUUCGCCAUGACUUUAUUGAUAGAGAUAUAAAUAGAAGGAUGAUUUAUAACCUGGUAUUUAGUCAGGGUACUCGUGAGACUAUUACUUUGCUUGCUCCUUCUUUGUUCAAUCUUCAUGCAGGCAGGUACAUUAUUAUGCCCUCGGACAUCUACACAUAUUGGGGCUUGUCCCAACCACAGGUGCCCGUGCCCGAGCCACCAGUCGAGUACCAGACGCCAGUUUAUCAAUGGGAGCCAGAGGAGCUCACACAGCAGUGGCAUCCUUAGUCCACUCCGGAGUACCCCGGAGCUGGUUAUUUCCCUCUGUGGGAGUAGACCAACUUAGGCCAAAAGCCUAAGCUUGGGGGAGUACGUGUUUCUCACCGACUUUACAUUCUUGCUUAUGCUUUCACUUUGUUCGUCGGUGUUCACACUUUGCCACUGUAUCAUCCAUGCUAAUUUAUUUUCUUUUUCUCGUUUUCUUUUCGUGUGCCUGUCUAGUUUGAGAAAACCCAAAAAUAUUUUCUUUUUCUUCUUUUGCUUAUUGGGAGCUUUCCCGUGUAAAUAGUUUCUUUUUCUUUGGGUCAAGGUAGAAGAUAAUGGUUACAAUGUUUAGUGGCUCUCGCAUGCAUACCUGUUUAGCUGUCAAAGAGCCAUAUUACUUUGUCUUCUCCUUUGUGUUUGCCUGCAGAUUCCAGCUUUAGUCCAAUGCACGAGCACUCUUAUUAUUGUUCACAUCAUUCGGUCGUGCAAGUGAAAGGCAAUAAUGACGAUAUAUGAUGAAGUGACUGAGCCUGGAAAAGCUGGUAUGAACUCGAUCUAUUUUGUUUUUGUAAAUAUGACUAGCUCACUGUUCCUAGUUCAGCUUUGUUGUGAGAGUAAUAUGUUUGCAAUGACAACUUAGAGAUCAUAGUUGCUGAUGCCAUGCUUACUUAGCUAGGAUCUUAUAAUGGUUUGUCUUGGAUGCCCACAUGAAUUUUGAGAUGACUAUGAUGUAGUAUGAUAGGAUGGUAUCCUCCUUUGAAUGAUUCAAGUGGCUUGACUUGGCGCAUGUUCACGCAUGUAGUUGAAACAAAAUCAACAUAGCCUCUAUGAUAUUCAUGUUCAUGGUUGUUUAUGUCCUACUCAUGCUUGCACUCAAUGUUAGUUAAUCUCAAUGCAUUUUGAUGACUGUUGUCGCUCUCUAGUUGGUCGCUUCCCAGUCUUUUGCUAGCCUUCACUUGUACUAAGAGGGAAUACUGCUUGUGCAUCCACUUCCAUAAACCCAAAGUUGUUCCAUAUGAGUCCACCAUACCUACCUAUAUGUGGUAUCUACCUGCCGUUCCAAGUAAAUUUGCAUGUGCCACUCUCUAAACCUUCAAGAAAUAAUCUGUUUUGCAUGCCCGAACCGCUCAUGUGGUGAAAGGGGGCUAUCAGUAUCUUCCAUGCUAGGCGUGUUAUCCUCGAUAUGUGUUUAUUCACUAUCAUCCACGAGAAAGGGGCCGGUAAUUGGAAUGCCCAGUUCCAUGCUCAAAUCGAAAAGAUAAUUGCAAACAAAACUCCCCCGAGAUUGAUGUUGGUAUGGACGGUGCCCGAGGAUUCGGCUAGCCGUGGAGUGUGAUUGAUCGGUGGUGGGGGAGUCAAAACUUUACUUUUCUAUUUGGGAACCGCCUAUAGCAUGUGUAGCGUGGAAGAUGGUGAGAACUCUUAGUCAUUGCGUUGACAAUGAAAGCAUGCCACCCAAAAUUAUUAUCUCUGUUUUCAAAGCUUGAGCUCUGGCACCUCUGCAAAUCAAUGCUUCCCUCUGCUAAGGGCAUGUCUAUUUAUGUUCCUGUUGAGUCAUCCUCCUCUUAUAAAAGCCCCAAUUAGAGAGCACCUCUGUCAUUUUUAUGCUUUGCUUCUAACUGUGAUUGAGUAUGACUGUGACUGGAUCUUCUUUGCCAUGAAUUAUAAUGUUUAGUCAGCCCUUGGUCUUUGAAGGUGCUCUGCAUUUAUGUUUUGCGGUCUCAGAAAGAGCUAGCGAGAUACCAUCUGUCCGUACUGCUUCAUGAUUGUUUUGAUUGAAGUAUUGACGUUUGAGACUUAUUAUUAUUUGCUCGCUAGUUGAUUAUGCCUUUGAUAUGAGUUUACCGUGAGAUCUAGAUGUCAUUUGCUUAUGUGGUUUGCUUGUGAUCUUGCUGAAACUCUGGAUAUGAGCUAGACAUAGUUGCAACAACAAGAUCAAACAGAGUUUGUCAAAGUUUUUCUUUUGUCUCUUUCAGUUUGUCAACUGAAUUGCUUGAGGACUAGCAAGGCUUUAAGCUUGGGGGAGUUGAUACGUCUCCAUCGUAUCUACUUUUCCGAACUCUUUUGCCCUUGUUUUGGACUCUAAUUUGCAUGAUUUGAAUGGAACUAACCCGGACUAACGCUGUUUUCAGCAGAAUUGCCAUGGUGUUGUUUUUGCAUAAAAUAAAAGUUCUCGGAAUGACCUCAAAAUUUACGGAGAAUUUUUCUGGAAUUUAUGAAAAAUACUAGCGCAAGAAUCAGCGGAGGAUGUGGAGCAUGGAGCCCACAAGCCCACCAGGCGCGGGGCCCCCCUAGCCGCGCCUGGCAGUCUUGUGGAGCCCACGACGCUCCACCGACUCCAAAUCCAGCUCUAUUUAGUCCGUCUCGCCCGGAAAAAAAUCAAGGAGAAGAGUUCAUCGCGUUUUACGUUUCGGAGGCGCCUCCACCUCCUGUUCUUCAUCUGGAGGGCAGAUCUGGAGUCCGUUCUGGGCUCCAGAGAGGGGAGAUCGUCGCCAUCGUCAUCACCAACCUUCCUUCAUCGCCAAUUCCAUGAUGCUCUUCACCGUUCGUGAGUAAUCUCAUCGUAGGCUUGCUGGACGGUGAUGGGUUGGAUGAGAUCUAUCAUGUAAUCGAGAUAGUUUUGAUGGGGAUUGAUCCCUAGUAUCCACUAUGUUUUGAGAUUGAUGUUGCUACUACUUUGCCAUGCUUAAUGCUUGUCACUAGGGCCCGAGUGCCAUGAUUUCAGAUCUGAACCUAUUAUGUUGUCGCCAAUAUAUGUGUGUUCUUGAUACUAUCUUGCAAGUUGUACUCACCUACUAUGUGUUAUGACCCGGCAACCCCGGAGUGACAAUAGCCGGAACCACUCCCGGAGAUGACCAUAGUAUGAGGAGUUCAUGUAUUCACCAAGUGUUAAUGCGUUGGUCUGGUUCUUUAUUAAAAGGAGAACCUUAAUAUCCCGUAGUUUUCAUUAGGACCCCGCUGCCACGGGAGGGAUGGACAAUAGAUGUCAUGCAAAUUCUUUUCCCUAAGCACGUAUGACUACAUUCGGAAUACAUGCCUACAUUAUAUUGACGAACUGGAGCUAGUUACUUAUCUCUCAGUGUUACAACUGUUACAUGAUGAAUCACAUCCGGCAUAAUCAUCCAUCACCGAUCCAAUGCCUACAAGUCUUUUACUACUGGUCCCUGCUAUGUUACUUUGCCGCUACUACUGUCACUACUGCUACUGUUACUCUACUGCUAUUGGUUAUUGUUGCUACUCCUGCUAUCACCCUACUUUGCUACUGAUACUUUGUUGCAGAUACUAAAUCUUUCAAGUGUGGUUGAAUUGACAACUCAACUGCUAAUACUUGAGAAUAUUCUUUGGCUUCCCCUUGAGUCGAAUCAAUAAAUUUGGGUUAAAUACUCUACCCUCGAAAAUUGUUGUGAUCCCCUAUACUUGUGGGUUAUCACUGCCCGGUUCAAAUCCUGGUGAUUACGUGAGCGAUUUAGUAAUUUUUAAGAUGGCUCGGGUAACAAAUGAAGAAAAAUAUAAAUUCGUAAUCGGGAAGCCUCUCGUCAAACCUGGCCAUCCUCCUCUAACACCGAGGAUGCACGAAUUGCAUGAGUGGUACAUGAACAUCUUCAGGGAGAAAACGGCUGUGUAUAUAAGAGUGAAAAAAGAUCACGAAUUCAUUGGAGCUUCAGUGGUGCUUGUUGAAUUUGAGGAGUUAUUUCAGUUAUACAAUGAUCUGGCCCUUGACAAACAACUCCUGACUUCCUACUGUUUGUAAGUAUUACUUCUAUAGUUAAGUAUCUAGCUCAGCUCGUUCAUUGCAUGUAUCUACAAUUAUCCUCACUAUAUAUAUUAUGCAGAUCAAAGAUCGUCGAAUUAAAAAAAACAGGAAUCUUCAACAUUGGAUUCAUUAGCCCAGAAUCGGUAAAUGUAUUGUCGAUACGAAAUGAAACCAAAGAGACCGAGGUUAAGUUGCUAAAUUCGUUGCUUGUAAAUUAAAACAAAAGGGAAAUAUUCUUUCCUUACAACUUCAGGUAAGUGUUGUUGUCUUCUUUGUAUACACGAUUUCGCUUACUCAAGGUUAAUUAGUGAAUGUAAUUGAUGAGUUAUAUAUGUGUGCGCAGUUACCACUGGAUUCUGCUAUCCAUUAAGCUUGACGCGGGAAAAGUAAGUGUCUUAGACUCGAGACGUAAAGAUCCCAAGGAUUAUGCCGACAUGACUGCAAUGCUCAUGAAGUAAGUUCACUCAAUACCGGGACCAUACCGGCAUGCAACUUUCGUUAAUUUCCUGAUAUCAAGUAAUCAUUUUCUUUGCCUGGCAGGAUUUGGAAGAAGUUCACGAAUAAAGUUCGCGAUAUACCCAAAGAGUUGCAAUUUACGCACCCCCAGUAAGUAGUACUAGCUAGCUAGUUCCGCGCAUCUCUAAUCGAUUCAAAUUUUCAUCAAUAUAUCAUUAUCAUGCUUGCUUAUCAAUUUGAUUGAACUCUAUAUAUUCUCGUAAAGUGCUUGUACCAGGUAGGUGGGACUGAAAAAUGUGCAUUCUACGUAUGCGAGUUCAUUCGCCUCUCGACCUCUGGACGAGGCAUCUCUGGCGAACAAUUUGAAGUACGUAAAUAAUAUUCACAAUUUUAUUUUAUAUAUUACCAUCAAUUGUGUUGAGUUUUAUUCAUAUAUAUGCAUGUAUUGACCCACUUCUUUAAAUUAGAUCUGGAAGAAGCGGGAUGAACCCCUAUCAGAUGAUGGCAUACGAGCAAUUAAAGAGGAAUUGGCGGGAUUCCUUCUUGACCACAUCAUAUCUAGUGACAGAGAAUACCAUGUGAGCUAUUUGUGAUUGGAUCUUAGGUAGAUGAUGUUAAGCAUUGUAAAAGAUGUUAUAUUGUAAAAGAUGUUAAGUAUUGUAAAUGGUUUCCUUCAUUUUCUUAUUAGCUAGCGUCAUGUUCUCUCUAUAUGUAUAGUAGCUAGCGUCGACCAAGCACGAAGAAAAGAGGACACUUCUCUCUAUUAGCUAGCUAACACAAUAUGAAACCACUAAAUUAACCCUCCACACCCCCCCCCCCCCCCCCCGCGCGAUCAAAGAAAACAAAAACCCCAGCUCUGGGCAGAUGCUGACGCGUGGAUGCAUGUUGUCCCGGUUGGUGUGACCAACCGGGACUAAAGAACCUCCUGCUCGGGCUCGCCGCAGCGGCCACAUGGACACCAUUUGGUCCUGGUUCGUAAGUGAACCGAGACUAAAGGUUUUGGGCUUUAGUCCCAACCAUUUAGUCCCGGUUCAAGAACCGGGGCUAAUGGGUCUCUGGAACCGGGAUAAAUGGGCCAUUUUCUACUAGUGAUCGGAGACAAUCCCGAUGAGGUUAAGACCCUCGAGCGAAGGGAAGUGAGGAGAAACAUGGGAUGCACCCCUCGAUCAACUUGAACUACCAUGGGAGCGGCGAGGCUGUCACUAGUAGAGAAAUGGAUAGCCACAAUGUUAAUUGUUGUUGUCCCAUUUUCAACCAACGCCACCAUUAUAUUUUCUAAACAUUGGUGGCGUUGGACUAUUUGGUACAACACCACUAAGAUAAUAGUGGUGGCGGUGGCACAUUUUUAAACACCACUUGUAGGUGGGACACAUAGUUGAGACAAGGUGCAACUUAGUGGUAACGUGGUAUAACAUCAAACACAACAACUAAUAGGUUUUCCUGUGGCAUCAUAUGUAUUGCCACAUCAUCACUAUAUUUUUUGGGAAUUAGUUCUAUUUGUAAUUAAUUAUUCCUAACUAUGUUUUUUAUUUUUGCAAAUGGUGAACAUUUUUAUAUUAUAUUAGUAAGAAAAAUGUAUUUAUUUUUACUGAAAAUAAUAUUAUAAUUUGAAAUUGCGAUACCUCUAUAAUAUAUUUUGAAUUUUUCAGUUAUUUUACCUUUUAUUUGCUUCCAAGUAGUGAACAUUUUGUUACUAUACUAGUACAAAAAAUAUUGCAAUCAAUUUUAUUAAAGUUAGAAUAUAUUGAUUUGAAGACAUUUUUAACAUAUAUUUUGAGUCUUCAAUUGUUUACAUUUUGGUUUUACUAAAAUUGUGAAUACUUUUAUACUAUAUUCUUCAAAACAUAUUGUAGUUAAUCUUAUCAAAGUAAGAAUAUUGUAAUUGUAAAUGGUGGCCUUUUUAUGUUGUAUUUUGAGUCUUUCAAUUGUUUACCAUUCUAUUUUUUUGUAAAUGGUGAACAUUUUUAUAUUAUAUUAGUAACGAAUGUAUUUACUUUUAUUACAUAAGAAUAUUGUAAUUCGAAAUGCUGAUAUUUUUAUAAUAUUCUUUGAGUCUUUCAGUUUUUUAUUUGUUUCGAAAUGGUGAACACUUUAUUAUCAUACUAGUCAAGACAGUAGUGCAAUCAAUUUUAGUAAAGUUAAAAUAUUGUAAUUAUAAAUGGUGACAUUUUUAUAAUAUAUUUGAGUCUUUAAAUUGUUUUACAUUUUACUUUUUUGUAAACUUUGAACAUUUUUAUAUUAUAUUUGUCAAAACACACUGUAGCUAAUUUUAUUAAAGUAAUAAUAUUGUAAUCGGAGUGGCAUUUCUAUACUGUACUUCGAGUCUUUCAAUUGUUUACCUUUUUGUUUUUUGUAAAUGGCAACAUUUUUAUAAUAUAUUUUGGGUCUUUCAAUUGUUUUACCUUUUUAUUUUUUUGUAAAUGGUGAAUAACUUAUAUUAUAUUAGUCAAAACAUAUUGUUGUUAAUUUUAAUAAAGUGAGAAUAUUGUAAUUGAAAAUACUGACAUUUUUAUAAAGUAACUUUUUAGAAGUAAGAAUAUUGUUUUACCUUUUUGUAAUAUUAUAGUUAUUUUACAGUAUUCUAGUUAUUUUAUAAUAUUGCAGUUAUUUAUAUAAUAGGUUUUGUGACAUUUAGAAGUAAAAUCGAGGGGCAACAACCCACUGGCCAACUGGGCCUAGCCUAAAAGUGUGUUGGUAGCACUCGGCCUCGCUUACUAGGUAAUGGCCCCCCUCGCAUCACCUCUCUCUUUCUUUUUGUUGUCGUUGCUCAAUCCCCUUUUGAUGUCGUCGUCGUUCUUCUUUUGCAUCACAAUAUUCGUCACCGACAGAUCCCGACCAUUUCCGACGGGAUCCAAGGCCGAGGUAAACAUCUACAACUCCCCCUCUUGUUGCCCUAUCUCUACAACCAUUAGAUUUGUUUUGAUAUGCAUCGGUAGGGACAUCCCGAUUUGAUUUGCAUCGUUAGGGUUUCCGCGACGGUGACGGAGAUGACGGGCUGCUAGGCUUUGGUUGCGCAUGACAUUGGGAAGAAAAUCAUUGGUUAGUUCAUCCCUUCCCCCUUCUUUCUCCUCUCUAUGAAUUCAUCGGUGAGUUCAUCCCCUCCGAAUUUGAUUUGGAUCGCUAGGAUUUCGGUUUGGCAGUGCAAUAUGUUGACGAAUUAUGAUAGUUUGAGUGAGUAUACAAAAUUAGGGGUUUCAUGGAUUGAUAUGUUUGUAUGGCAGUGCUGGGUAGUUUGAGUGAGUAUGCAAAAUUAGGAAUUUGACAAUUCAAAACUAGUGUCAAAACAGUGCCAAAACUAGUGACAAAAGCUUGACUAUGUCAAAGCUUUACUUAAUUUGAUAGCUCCAAACUAGUGUAAAAAAAUGUUUGUCAAAGUUUUGAUAGUGCCAAAUAGUGGCAAAAGCUUUGAGAGCACCAAAGCUUUACUUAAUCCUCGGGGCUAAGGGUAUGUAUUAACAGUUAUGUGUUCAAUUUCUCUCUCUCUCAUGUUAUUAAUGGAUCCAAUCUUGAUUGUACCAUGAGCUUUAUUAAUAAAGUUGGAUCUUAUGACUUUCAUCUCCCUUUAUCCUUUUUAUAGUGAAUCGAGUCUUGCUCUUUGAAGUUUCUUUAUGUUGGAUUGAAUAUAUUGGAUUUGAGAUUACAUGAUGCAUGUCUAGUAAUUUACUUGCGGAUACCCGAGGUGACAUUAGGGUAGUCUAAGCAUAGAGGUUGAACCAUAGGAUCAUAUGAUGUUGUGGUAGUAUGAUCUCUAGGACUAUUUGUGACAGUUUGGGGGUG
rnacentral:lncRNA from 1 species